UUUUUUUUUUUUUUUUUUGCACUACACUCAGUUCAAACUAAGCGAAAAUUGAUUUUGAUUAUCCAAUGACAAAAUUUCUUUUAAAUUUCAUACUUAGAACGAUUAUAUAUCGAGGUUAAUUCUAUGACAAGAAAUUGCAAUACGUGAGAAUACUAUCCUAAUAGAAAAUUAAGAGUGACUUUAAACCUUGAACUCGUAUAUUGUUAAACCAAACUCCUUUAUAUAAUUAAUUAAAGCCUUAGAGGCAUUAGUUAAAUAAUCAUGAAGUUUAUAGUCCAAUUCUCAAGUCCUUCCCUUUCUCUGUAAGAUUUGAAAAAUCUUUUCUCUGAAAAAAAAAAAUCUUAGUGAGAUGGUUUUGGACCUUUGGUAAGCUAAGUAUGUUACAUACUUCAGUUGGAGUAGUUUUCAUGUAACAAGAUAUCUGCACUAGGCAAUCAUAUAGAUAAGUAACAUUUCAGUGCCAUUAAAUUUUGGGUCUGAAAUCUCAUUUUUGGUGCAAAGAUCUAACUCACUUCUUGCGAUAAUGAACAAGAAGAGUAUAUAAUAAUUCCCACUUGAGAGUUGGGAGGUCUCAACUUUCUGGUCGUCUAAAGAGAGGAUGUGAGGCCAUCAUCCUUCAAGGGUUAGUUUAGGGGCCAUCAAGCCACCUUUACAACUGUUAUAAUGAGUUCAAUCACUUGCAGCUGUUGCCCCUUCAUAUUGUUCGAGGAAAAUGAGAAGCAAAACAAAACUCCUAUAGGUGGUCGAUCUUAAUUUAUGGGCGUUACAAUGAAUUGCAAGAGGACAAUCAAGAAAAUGCCAACUUUUGAUGAUCCCUUGAUUAGACUUGUGCCCCCAUGACAACUUUGAUUGCACAUAAAAACAUUAGAAAAACUACUGGAAGAUGCUAACAAGGAUAGUCAUUUAUUGUGGAAAUUUUUUAUGCCUUUCCCAAAAUAGUACUUAUACCUUUCUCCCAUUCUUGUCUCAGAAGAUGCUAUGAUGGGCAUUGCCAUAUAGAGGACCAUUUGUUUAUUCCUUCCAUUUCUCCAAUUAAUUUUCCCCCCAUUUAAUUUCCUGUAUCACCGGUGAGAAAUGGAAAAGGAAAAGAAACAUGGCUACUCAUAUAAGCAAGUAGUGUGCUUUCACUUUCACAUUGGUUGAAUUAUGCCAAGUAAGAGCCAGUCGUGAUUACGUACUAAUUUAAAAGUUCUGAAAAGUUGCCUGAGUUUUUGAAGUUUUGUGUCCCUUGGUCUCAUUGGCGUUUCUCUCUUCCCUGUCAUAUCAGUGUAAUAUAUAGAAAAACACUCCUAUUUCUGCUUCCAACAUUAUUAUUAUUCUUUUUUCGAAAUACCACUUUGAAAGAAUGCGGACAAUCGAAAAACACCCAUUCAAGAUUUUGAUGCAUUUAUCAUGAAAAUUGAGCACAAAGAUGGAAGGUUAUCGAGUCUAAUUACCCCUUAGGAAGCCAAAAUUACAUUCUCCUGAACAGACGAACCACCCCGGCCGUAAUUUGCUGCAAUAAUAAUUAGCUAAAGCAUUCACUAGUAAGUGAUUAGUAUGCAGUAAGUAAUUAGAUUAACAAAUUUCCUUGGUGUUGCAGUUUAGUCCGGCAGCUCCAUUGAUUUCAUGACAACUGUCUACUGAGAAUAUUAUUUAGGUAGUGGCACCAAAUAAAGCCAUAUAGGUAAAAUGUAUUAUUCCAUUUUGGAUUGCUUCGUGACACUUGUCUUCUUAAUUUAAUGGUUAGACGUACCAUGCAGCCAACGAUGGUGGGAUCAUCUUUAAGGGCCUGCAAAUUAUGGUAGGCCUUCUUCCUCAAGCUCUAGAGUUAUUGACCCCAUUUCCACCUUUUUUGUCUUCAUUAAUAUUGUGGAAGCAACAUUCCACGUUAUUUUGUUAGGGAAACACUGAGGCCAAGCUAGCUUUUGAUUUGAGUUGGACCUGCAAGCUCUUGUAGAGCAAUGAAUGAUUUUGUUGCAGCAGUAAAGAGGAGCUUUAAUUAUAUUUAUCGUCAAUAUUGACCUCUCUUGAGUCCUUACCCAGAAGAGAUGUUUUAGAGUUUUAAGGUAUUGACCAAUAAGCGGGCACAAGAGCAUUAGACUUGGUGAUAAAUUAGAAGAGAUAUUGAUAAGAAUGAGUAAUUUUAUGUUUUCGAUUAAUCUUUUCUACAUUGACAGUGUCAGCGUUGGAUGAACGAUAACUAUGUAAAAUUUGAAUUUAAAAUUUAACUUUUGUACAUAUAUCAUUGAUUCAAAGGUGAUUGUAUAUACGUUGUCAGUGUAUAUAAGAUUUAUUUGUACGUUUUUAGUAACAUUUUAGGAGCACAUAUUUUAUUUUUUCCAAGGUAUAACUAAAAGUUUGAUUUUUUUUUUUUUUGACAAAAUCUAAUUCAGUUAAUAAAUUCUUGGGGGCGCCAUAUGGUCCGGCCAUGCAGACACCCAAAAAGAAAGGAAAAUGGAACAAAAGAAUGUUACUAGAAUUUAAAUUGCUAUCUUUUUUGGAAAUUUUUUUUGGAGUUUUAGGGCUGCCAUUUGUACUUUACAUAUAUCACAUUUUCAAAAAAGUGCUACGAUGUUAGUCUCCUAUAAAUACUCCAAAAAAACUCACCAAAAACGUCCAAUCCAAACUACUAGAGGGGGAAAGAAAAAAAAACAACCAUAAUUUCGUUCAAAUGAAAGCAAUUUGCCUAAUUACCCUACUUUUAACUAAAAAAUGCGAAUUCCCACAUAUAGCCCACCCUUUGUGAAUUUCUUGGAAGCCGAUUUAAUAGGACCUUGAUAUCUUCUCAAAAAAAAAAAAAAAAACAGAGAGGUGCAAUCCUCAAUUCAUUCGUCCAUCAAUGUAAAAGAGCAUUGCAGGGGAGGGAUAAGUUGGAUGGUACAAAAAAUGGAAGUGUAAAUGAGAGGUUAAGGAUUAGAAAUUUUCCAUUUACACCAAAAAGAAAAACUUAAAAGAGCAUCAUAUAAUUGGCGAAGAAAUGGAGUCCAAAUAUCAAGAUGAACAUUCAAUGACGAAAAUGGCAUCAAAUUGGGGGGCCGAGUAGGUCUUUUAGGAUCCAGAGUUCUAUAAGUUAAGUUAUGACCAAUUCAAAACUUUUCUCGCAUCUUACAUUUAACCAAUUUAAUUGUAUGAAUUAACAAAUUUAAGUUUAUACUAAAAUUAUGCUAGUUUAUACCAAAAAGUAUAAGAAUAUUAUUACAUCCACGGAUUUGAAUUAAACAGAACUUAACUUGUGACGCGUCGUACUAGUUAAUGGCGAAUUGCACUUUCACAAACAAGCUCGCCUGUACGUAUUUAACUGCAGGGAGCAGCUUACAAAUAGGAGGUCAAGGAUAAAAACGUGGUUACCUAUUCAUUCAUUCAUAAGGAGGAGAGGACGAAUGUUACAGUUUGACUGGGCGUUCCCUAUAUGUCCCACUUUCUGCAGAUGCUUUACAAACUGGCAGAAUUUCUGAGAAUAUGCACAUCGAUUGUGAUGGAUUUUCAGGGAUUAUACAAGUUAGGCAAAUGGCCCUGAUUCUUGUUUUCCUUUUUCUUCUCAAGUGUAUGGUCGUUGCCUUCCCUUCAGGGGGAGGAGGAGAAGUGAAUAUUACCUAAACGGUGCACUAUUUGAAACCAAGACUAGUUGUUACCAAUUUGUUUAGUCAUUUUCUGCUCCACACCACAUAUGUCUUGAAUGAAUUGAAGUUAGUGAAAGAAGUAAUUUAAAGCUUUAACUGUGGAUAAUGUACCCAAGGUCUACAAGUAUUUAUUCACCUUAACUCCUAACAGAAGACAAGUUAUUCUUAAUUUUGAUGGUUAUCCAUUGUCGACUUCAUUACGUUAAUUCGUUUGUAUGCUGUAAGAAAGGCAGCUCUAGGAGAUUAUGAUCACUUAGCUAGGAAUUCUUUAUUUGUACGCCUUAUCCUUGGAAUUUUGUCUCCUGCAUAGCUCUGGCAGUAUUAUCAAGUAGAUAAUGAAGCCAAUAACUGCUAGUCUGCGCCAUCCUAGAGAAGGUUGCCAAUUGCUGAUUAGUUAUUGCACAACUCAGAAUCUUGAAACUUUUGAAAAGUCCCUAUAACGUGCAAUGCACAAGUUAGGCCUCAAACAUGUUGCAUCUGUUGGUUGAUUUUCGGAUCUUUUAUGGACUUAUGUUAUUGAUAUAUAUAUAUAUAUACUUUCUGCCAUUAUCCCAAUAAAUUAAAUUGUGUUCUCUAUUUAAAAAAAAAACACAAGACAUCAAGAAUACUUAAAAUAUUUAAAAUAUAAGAAUUAUGUAGUGUAAUGCAUAUUCGAAAUCGAAUUUCCUACUCAGAGGUGGAUAGAUUAGGUGAUUACAGGGGAAAGAGUAUAAGCGAGAGCUCGCGAAUCUGAACCCUCACGCUUAAGAAAAAUAAAUCGUAUUUCGUGCUAGAUAUCUUUCUUUAUUCAUAGUGGUAUGGCAUUCUACAUUUCUACUUCUUGUUCGACUUCAAUUAUUUAUUCUUUAAUUUGUGAACUACAACGUGCAAAUAAUUUAAGUUACAAUUAGAUGGUCCAUCCAAUGAAUCAACCGAUUCAUAGGGGUUGAAACCGCCACUACCCUCCUCAAUCCGGCAAUCACAAUCUUUUUAGGCAAUUUCCAUUGGAUCCAUUGACUGACCUGUGAAUGAGAGAAAUCUGGACGAGGAGGCCUAACUCCACGUGCAUUCAAGAACGAGCUAAACUUGGAGUUUGGAUGAAGGUUUUUCCGCCAAGUGUAAGCCAUGCAUCGUCCUUCUCACCCUAACAAGACAACAACCGCCCCACCUGGCUUCUCCCCAAUCCAUCUGAAUCCUCUAUAUAUUUUGUUUCACCAAAAUCAUCCCAACCCCAUUUGGUCAUUCAACCGGAAGGAAGAAACACCGAAAGGGUUCUCAUUAAAGGCUGAGAAAUCAUGAGCAGCGGUUCAUGCAACACGGGCUGUGGCUGCCCCGUUCCAUGCCCUGGUGGGGUUUCCUGCAGGUCAGUCAAUUUAUGCUUGUUCUUGCAAAGUCCUUCGACUGAUGUCUCUAUGGUACUUGACGUUUUGCCUCAAUGAAAAAUAUCUCGCAGGUGUGCAACGGGACGCAGGGAGGAUGAUCCCAGCGUAGAACACAAGCGGUGCUCGUGCGGGGAGCACUGUGGCUGCAACCCUUGUGCCUGUCCAAAAGGUACCAAUAUCACUGGCACUGGAAGAGGCGCUUGCCAAUGUGGCGUUGGUUGCAACUGUGUGACUUGUGCAGCCUAGGGGGAGGGUUCCUACUUGCUCGUAUGCAUGUUGAUGGAAGGUCGUAAUCUAGUGAUGUAAUGUAAUAAUAGACUAGUAGUUCCCACGUAGUUUGUUUCAAGCCUAGACAGUGAACUACGGGCACCCUUUGCUCUGAUGUAUUCUCCUAUUCUGCAUGCUAUGAAAUCCUUGUCACUACGUGAAGGAUGUUACUAAUAAGCAAUUUCAAGUAUUUAUUACUACUAUCUUUUGCAUACUACAAAUACAUCAAGAACCAUCUUUUCUUCUUUUUGUUUUUUUCUCUUCUUCUCAAAUUCCAUAAUUUAGCUAGCCGUGACUUGAAUCCCAUAUUUAUUCCCUACCGUUUGGACGCUCAGCCAUGAAAUCAACUGAAACACAGGUGUAAACUUCAAUAUGGCACUAACAUGGGACUAGUCUUUAUCAUCACCUGCAUUGAUGCUAAUAUUCCAGGGAAUGUUAAUACUCCUUUCGGUUCAUGAAGCUAUUAUGGUGCUAGAGAGGACAUGAUGCUGCACCAAGAGGAAUCCAAAUCUUUGAUGAGAACAUUUACUAAGUUGAAUUUGUUUCUUGUUUUUUGGGGGUAAAGAUGCUGCGAUAAGCAUCUGUGGUACUGCAAUAAGCAAUCCGAAUGAGAUCUGCCAGCAAUUAAGGAUUUGAAUGUAGAUUUUCUUUGGCAAACGCUCGGUAGCUAAAUUGCAUAGUUUUACUGUUUUAGUGUAAGUUGAACAAAUUUUACAAGAUUAAUGGAUUGGUAAAUGCGUCACAAGAUAAAUGUUAGUGAAUGUCGAUGAAUAAUAUAUGCAUGUAUGUAGAUUUAGAAUAUGUGGUGUUUUGUUUUUUGGAAAUCUGAAUUUAUUAAAUUAUUGAAUUAUUAAGUACGUACCCAACUUGACAUAAUUUAUUGUUAGAAUAUGAAUGCUGAAUAUAGUAUGCGUCGUGGAUAAUUAUAGGCGACUGAAUUUCAUAUUUUUUAAUUUCUCCAUAUUGUUAUAUUUUGUCAGUAAUAUGUGUGACUUAAUUUUUAUUGAAAAUAAGGUAUUAAAAAAUGAAAAAAGAAUGAACCACUUUACUUGAGAAAAAACAAAUUUUAGCAUAACUUUUAAUAGUUUCUUUUGUUUCUUUGUUAACAUCUGUAGAUAUCGUAAAAAAAAAUUAUUUUGACAAAAUAUUUUAGCACAAUUUUCAAUAGUUUCUUUGCUUCUUUGUUAACUUAUCACAAAAAUGGAGUACACUUUGUCUAGCUAAUUUAGAGUAAUCAAAUUAAUUAAGAUAUUCUAUCUUUAUUAUUCAAUCCAUCUGAACAUGUUAAGAUCUGAACUAUCAAAUUUAAUUUUAAGUAGUGAAUUAGGUUAUAAAACCGGCCUUUAAUUUGGUGCUUGCUUAGGAAAAAGAUUGACAUCAAUUCCUAAGAGUCUCAAAAACUGUGAAAUUUCGUCUAAUCUUUUAUCUUUCUUCCAAUAAAGGUAUAAGCUGCUGGUUAGCAUCAUUUGGAACCUCAUUAUAUACCCAGCGUUCAAAGUGUACACAGUAAGAAGCUAAAGCCGAAGAUGAGAAACUUGAUUCGUACAUUUUCAGGAGAAUUUUGAAAUUCUCCAAAAUAGAUUGCAAGGAUUUAAAAAUGUUUCAGACCAACAUAUCCAACUGCAGCAUUAACAGCAAGAAUUGAGAAAAUCUGUCAAACAUAUGACAGGAAUUCGACUCAUGCUUGUCCAGGAUUCAAUUGACACUAAUAUGUGAGAACCCAUUAUGACAACAAAGUAUUCAAUCCAAUCCUUGAUGAAAGAACGUAAGCAUAAUAAUGAAAGCAUUCAAUAUUUUGGGUCAAUGGUAAGCAAAAUUUGUCCCGAGAUUUAGCUCAAUUGGUAAGAAUAUUAAUUAAUGUAAACAAAACACAUAUCAAGCGAAGUACUCACAUAAUUUUGAUUCCUUUGCUUUUCAUUACUUCUGUUAGAUGUAAAAUCUGUAGACAACGUACAUACUGGGAACAAUUACCAUAUAUAGACCGCGGACUAUGAAGCCCUAAGACGAUAAUGAUAAUAAUUUUGAACAAAAAAGAAUACCACGAUAUUCGGUGUACUGAAUUGAGAUGACAGAAAGGUGAGAACCCAUUUUACAAAAGAAAAAGAAAAAGAUUAUGCACCACCUACAGAUUAGGGGUUUGAACCCCUACAGGCUAGACCCCUACACCUAUAGUAAAAUUCAAAGAGCGUGUAAUAGUGCACCCCUUUGGUUUAGACACUGAAAUCGCUCUCUCCAUCCUUUCUUGGUCCAGUUGGAUCUUUUCGUAAAUAUUUUGGAGUAGUAGGUUAAAGUAGGAGUAAAAAUAGUAUAAGAGUUUACAAUUAGCAAAAAUAAAAAAAUAAAAAAAAUAGUGCAAGCAAUGGAGCCCUGGAAAUUGGUGAAAUUAACUAUGGUAGUGGCCUCCAAAAUGAAGCUUUGUCAUUUAAGAAAACGUUCACCCAGGGCAUCAUUCGCAUAGUUUUUUUUUUUUUGUUGGGGGAUACUCAUACACAGCUUAUUAUAUAUAGCAAUAUUAAAAAGAAAAGAGAGAGAUAUUCAUUAAUUAAGAACUCAUGGUCUUAGUUUUUAUUAUUAUUAUUUUUUAACAUCUUGGAGGGGUCAUUGUAAACUCUUCUAAUUUUAUGGUCUAAUAAUAUAGUAAAAUUUUUUGCCUCAAAAACAAAAAAGGCUUUGAGGUUGGAGGGGUGGGUAGAUGAUAGAUGAGCAAUAUAUUUUUUUGUGGCUUUAGGGGGGCCAAAGCUUACGUGAAUGGAAGGCUUUGGGCUUUAGGGUGCAACGUAUAAUUGCACGUUUUGGCUCUUUUCUAAAGGAGCUUUUUUAAUCUUUUAGAUUUGAUGCUUUGACUUUUGGACUUGUCCAGUGAAACUUCUCUUUUUGGAUUUUAAAGGUAAGUCGCCCCACUCACAUGGUCUGUUUCUUGACGUAUCACAAAUCAUUCCAUUUCACUUCAUCAGAUAAAAUCUCUCAAAGGGAGGGAGGGGAUAGAUUUGUGUUUGUGGGAAAAUGACCUAAAGAUUCCCCAAAACUAAUGGACCCCAUCAUUCUUCAUGGAUUGAUGAUUAGGGUUUGUUGAGGCUUAACUUUAUCUUCUUAAACAUACAUCCCUGUCUGAUUUAUAAAUAAGAUAAAAAGGCUAAGUCCUACCAUGCCAUGCCAUUCCAUGCUGCUGUUUUUCCUCCUCCUCCUCUUUCUCUUUUCUCCCAUCUCGUUAGAUCCUUCUUCACAAAGUAUAUGUCAAUUCAAAGAAAGCUUUUUGGUUGUAAAUAGAACUUUUGUUAUCUUUAUUCUUUCCAACGUGUGUGACAUGUUAGUUGUUGCCCCCCCCUUACAAAGCCCUUUUUGGAUGACACUUUUUGUUUGUUUUACAUUCCAUGUAAACUCUAUCUUUGGUUCUUUACCAUUGGAAAUCAUGCAAUAUAGUUUAUGCUCAUCCUCUCCUCCAAAUUUGUGACAGUACAUCCCAUUAACGUAUCCAACAAAAAACAAGAAUCCAAAAUUUGCUAUAAGCUCCAUCAAAGUGAUCACCCCUCCUCCUCAACCUAUCAUAAUAACUAUGUGGCAACAAGAAACAUGAUUCCAAAAUUUGCAAUUACAUCCAUCAAGCCAUCAAAAAUUGCGGAUUUCCAAACAUAAAAGUCUAAAUUAAUGAUAAUGAAUCACACACACACACACACACAAACACAAACACCACUAUCAUGGCAUGCUUUUCGUGUAGUAUUAGUUUGUCUUUGAUGUAUAUAUGAGGUGAGGUGAGGUGAGAUGAUCCACUAGCAUGGUUCGAACUGAUUGGGAAGCACAUGGAUAGUAAAAGGGUCUUCUUCCCAGAAAAGGUUAACAAAUUGCUACCAAAAAGAAAAAGAGAAAGGAGAUGAAAAGAAGAGGGAGGAGAUGAAAAGAAGAAAAAGGGAAAACAACCCAUGCUGGCUCAGUCCUAAUUAAUAUUGGUAAACGUACUUUCAACCCCCUAUUCAAUUGUUAUUUUAGUUUCUCCCUCGUUGGAGGAGAAUAAAGGUAGCAUUCGAGUGUCUCGUUUGUGUGGAAUGUUUACUGUGUACAAAGUGUGUGUGGUGUGUGAGAGAAUAAGAGGACAUGUGAAGCUGCAGAAGAAACAACAAUUUCAAAAGCACAAUGACAAUGGAACUAUGUACAGCUUUCCAUGGUUGGACUGAUAAAAUAAAUAACAAGUUUAGCUUUUCCUCUUGCAAGUGACAAAAACUUUACCCUAGCUAACUUGGAUUCAAAUGGAGCAAUAGAGCUGCUGGUCUGUAUCUGUCUCUUUCCAGUUUGGCUACAAGUGCUCCUACAUGCCAAUUAGCUCCACUAUGAUUGCUAUUUCUCUUGAUUGAGAAUGUGUCCUUCUAACACUGUACCCCAGGAAUGAUCAAGGUAGAGAAAUAGUGAUUAUACAUCAUUGAGGUAGCUAAAAAAUUAGGAUCAGAGGUCACAUCAAUUGUUUUUGUGUAGUCAAUUUGCAAAAUACAGAGGUGGUAUUGCAUGAUUAUUUUCUGUGUGUUUUUGGAUUCAAUGCAGCUGUAAAUGUUGUACUAGGAUCCUUCAGGGAGUAAAAGUUGGAUCCCCAUUUGCCUUAAUAAAUGUAAACUCCUUCAACUAUUUUACUUGAUAAAAGAAAAUGCCGAUUCAUUAUUUGCCUUUUGUUUGUAUUUUUCCCUUGUUGAUUGUCCGUUAUUAGUCCGAUCCUUUGCAGGAACUACCAUUUUUUGUCUUUUUUUUUUAAUUAAUGAUAAUUCUUCUUCCCUUUGUUAAUUUAUCAAUAGGAAUUCGGAUUGCUAAGAGCUCAUUCGAGCUUAAUUUGUUAACUAGUCAAACCAAGUUUGAACAAUAUUUUACGUUCAAUAAAAAAAAAAAUUCGUUCAAACUAGAUUCGACAAAUAAAUAAGUUAAAUUUAAAUAAAAUUUCAAAUUCAUUAAAACAAUCGAAUAAGAUUUAACAUUAGAUUCUUCGGUUUGACUAGAUUCGUUUACACCAACCACAAUUCAUUUCAUUUGUAAGUUACUUUUAGAAUCGCUUGUUUUUCUGAUUUUGUUUCAGAGUUAUUCAACUGAUAAUAAUUACCUGCUGCAGCAUAUCCGCUCUGUCCCAAGAGCAUGCAUGCAUAUGUAUCUAAAUUUUGAAAAAAGAGUGACUGGAGGGGGACCAUGGAGUUUGUGGAUUUCUGCAUCAACAAAAAUAUCAUUUCAUAAGUGGAUAUGCAGUCUGAAAGAUACCUUCACUUACUUUCCAGUUGGACCUGAUAAAAGUCAUUAUUAGAAAUCUUUUUUUAUGAUAAUUAACAGAAAUUAAUUUUGGUGAUUACUGGGAAAAAUAUUAGGCAAUUUAUUUUUUUUUUAUUUUUUUAUUAACCUCGUUAAGAAAGAAAUUUAUUUUGAUUGCCACAAACGUUGAGGAUUUUUUUUUUUUUUUUUUAAGUGAGUGGGAGUCGACAUUCAAGACAAAGCCCAAUCUUCGACAGGCUGGUAACAAUUGGAAAUAUUCGUAAUUGGAGCCAAAGUCCAAUGAUUUGGUUCCAGCGACUCGUCGGCCCAGUCCAAAUGACAACUGGAAGAACAAUCCACAAUCUCUAGGGCCCUUUGAUGUCCAAAGUUUUCCACUUUUGUUUUUUUUUUUUUUUAAUUGGACUAGACUGCACUCAGUCAUAACGAAGAGGUAAUCCAAACUAGUAAUAGUUUUCUUGGAAUAUUAGGGCAUUUUCUUUUGAAAAUGAGAAGUACAAAGGGAGGACGAAGAAUGAGAUGCAUAAAAAUCAUUCAAACAAUAAAGCGAGUGCAAGCCCUUCCGGGGUAGCCGACCUGGUCCUAGUGGUGUAGUUUCUAGUUAGAGCAUUAACCAGAGUUCGAACCUUGUAACAAAAAUGGGAAAUAACCCAACAACCCAACUAAGGGUUAGGGCCUGAAGUGGGGCCAGGCCCUUUUUUUUGAAAAAUAAAAUAAAAAAAAAAUAAAGCGAGUGCAAAAUUAGGAACAUCAAUAAUGUUGUUAUGAUUGUUAAACCAAAUCAUAGGUCCAUAUGCCUUACCAUAAUUAUCAUGUUCAUGUACAAUUGAGAAGUUAGAUGGCAUUUUUUUUUAACCAGAUUUGGAGCCCAGAAAAUUAAUGUGUGACCGGUAAUGAGGCAAGACAUAAUUAAUGAAAGAAAACACUUUUAAGUAUGCAGCUGUCUGAAAUGUGGAAAAAAAAUCCCAUGAAGGGCCUCUCAUCUACUCAUUAAUCCUGCACAAAGCUCUCUAAUUGUAUUUUCUACGUAAUCAAGAAACCGAAAAAUUUGAUGGAAACAAGAACGUAAUGGAAUCCUAACACAAACAUGCCAACCUGAACAAGAUCCUACGUAGUUCUUCAUCUUUUCCAAAAACCUAGCGAGACAAUCUUCAUCUCUGUUGACAUUAAUGAUCGUUGCAGAUUGGACAUAAGCCGAAGCUGCAUGCUUGAGCAACUCAUUUCGGAUUGAGAUGUUAGAAGAGUCCAACAUGCUGCCCUCGCUACAGGCUGUAAGAUUUGGUGACGAAUUCAGAAGUAGGUCUUUCAAGCUUGUGUAUCUAAGGUCAUCACCACCGUCUGAAUCUUCUUCUCCGGAGAUCGUCGAGUCGAAUCUAGGUUUAAAUGAAGGUAACUUUUUCAGGGCAGGAAGUUCAGUAUCCAUUUUUCAUGGAUCAUGUAUGGUUUGUUUUUUUUACAAAUUCUAUCAAUUCAUGUCUCUAACAUUUCUCUAUUCAUAUGUCUCUAACUCAUCAUAGACGACCACAUUAAUGUUCCAUUUAGUUUACAGGCUUGAAGAUGAAAAACUUUGCAGAUAGUGUAUGCUUCAGGUUCAGACAAAUGGCUCCUUCUAGUGCAAGUUCACCUGUUUUUGAGGAAUAGAUUAUACACCUCAGAUUGAGAAACGGUCAUCUCUUGGUUCUGCAAUGAAGUAGGAUAUUUGCUUUUCAUGGGGUACGUUUAUAUUCUACCAAGAUGGUACUAUUUCAUUAUAUGCCACUAUAAUCAUGGAUUUAUUCUUGCCGACUUCGAGUUCAACUUAUGCAUUAAACUUGGUAUACCAUCCACUGAAAUUUUGAAAUAUACCUUAAUGCAAAGAAUGAACUAGCACUCGACUCUCAAAAGCCUCUAGUCUUUUGUACAAAUGUGAAAGGAUUAACCCGAUGCCUUAGAGUAGCUCGUUGAGCUUUUAACUUCUCCAUCCAUUAUCAAAAGCAUUAGAGGAAGAUUACAUUUUGUUACGUGCGCAAAUACAGAUUGCUCAUUUAACUUGACCUCGUAUCUAUAGGAAAUCGAAGGGUGAAUACCACAGAGCUAAUUCAGAAACUAUGGAUCUAGGCAUAUAAUUUCACCUACCAAGACUUCAUCACGGGACCUCUUCAAAAGAGACAGAAAGUAAGUCCUCUAGGAGCAAUUUUAGCUCCUCUCUUUACUACAAGGGUACCAUUAACUUGAAAACUAAAAGCUCGAACCUACAGCACAGAAGCGUGCAUCUGGAACAUUCAAGGAACUCAAGAGAGUUCUCGCAAAGCCCUGGACACUGCACAUCAUCUUAAGCAGAACGAUCAAUAGUAAAUUGUGUAUCACUGAUCACAGGCAAAUACACCUCUUUUCCAGCCUUUUAUUCAUACAAAGGUACUUCAGACCUUACAUUUGAACAUUAUAUUAGAACGAUUAUGUCUACAGUGUUCACAAUCAAAAGCAUCUCAAGCCACUUCUAGCCUAAUAGCUGAGGACAACGUUGAAAGGGAGAGACAACAGCUACCAUCUUCAUGAAUAUAUACCAGGAACCACCAAGAUAGGGAGGGGAAUUUAACAAAAGACCAUCCACAUCCAUUAAAAAGUGACCAAGUGCUUGACAUGCUAGACAAGUGCAUUCAACAGAAGCUUUCCAUCAUGCGAAGUUAGGUCAUGUGAAUAGCGGUUCUUGUGUUGUGAUCAGAGGGAUCAGAAAACACGCCAAACCACUCAAGUUUGAGAAGACAAAAGACAAACAUAUAGUAUGACAUUUCCACCUUAUGUCAUCUAUGAGCCUAUCCCAGGCUUUUCGUACAGAGAGAAAGAGAUAGAACAGAAAUACUGCAAUACUAGACUAUCUCAACAGAAAUAGGCAGCUUCUCUCAGAAUCGCACCAAUACAAUGGCAACAUCUAGAACACAACCAGAGUAACUUACUAUGACAUAUGUUGUAUGAAAAAGCCAAGGAACUACAAAUGCUUGGACCUUUUUCUGUGCACAUUGAACAGGAUUAAGAUCUGCUUCAUAAUUAGUACAAUCAUUUGAAGCAGCUUAAAGUUAUUAAUCAUUCUAUUCAAAAAAGAAAUUUCCACAUUUCAAUCACUGUUGCUGGUUCUGAUGGUGCUAAUAGCCUCAAUGUAGUCAAAGAGUGAAUUGAUCCUAGUAAUGACUGUCCUCCCUAUUGCAGAUUCAAUCAAAUUAAUCCAAGUCAUAAUGCAUUAUAAAUGAAAAGCUUUGUAGUAAGGUUCAAGGAAGGCCAACUUUAGUUUUUGAACAUUGGACCUUUUAGGGAAACCCUUUUAUGAAGCUUCUUGCCAAUCUACCUCUAUGGUUUAACUUGUACGAGCAACUUUGUCCAUGUACAAAGCAAACACCAAGAGUGGUAAAUAGCUCAUAGAAUUCGAUGCAUCCAUGUAGAAGUUAGUGUUUCCAAUUGCAGAUUAUGUUAAUGAUGCAUCCAUGGAGAAGUUAGCGUUUCCAAUUGCAGAUUAUGUUAAUGAUCUUUUGAUUUUUACUUGUUCAGGAAGUAUAAAUUCCUUGCAAAGUAAGUAACUUAGGAUGCAAGUUUGUAGUGUUAUUGAUGGCUAUACCAAAGUGUAAAAGGAGAAAGAUAAAUACAAUAUGGAAGACAACUUAUCAUCAUGGAAGGGUAAUUGAAGAUAACUACCAUCUGGAUCAAGCCAAGUGAAAGACUUAAAGUGUCAUAAAAAAUCAUACAUCAUCUUCAAAUGUAUAUGGUCACCAACGUGUCAAAGAUUUUAAAAAUCCUUUAGUUCCUUUCUUCCUUGUCUUCUUCUUCCUUUUUUUCUUUUUUCCUUUUUAGUUUCUGCAGUAACUAGGUGAAAUAAGUCAUGCAGCAGAAAUAAGUUCCCUCAAAAUGGCUCUAAAUGGACUUCAGGGCCCCAUUAUCCAAAAUUCAUCUUUACAACCAGAUCUGACAAUUUGUCUAUGCAUUUGACUGAAGAAACUGCCUGACAACAACCCAUCCCACUCCCUCAAUACACAUAACACCAUUAAGUAUCUUUAAAUGUGUAAUACCUAGUAGCCACCUUCUACUCUUAGCUAGUCAUUUUUCAUUUCUUCAAAAAAAUUGCCCAGCUGUUUGUCCCGUCCAAAGACCUCCACUAGUAAAUGAAUCUUGAUACUCAAUCAAAUUCAGAUGAAGAAUCAUCACACGGUCUCAUCAAAGAUCAAACACUAGUAUUAGACCCUCAAUUGCCUCAUCUAAUCCUUUUUCCACACAAAUUGAUCAUCGCCUUUAACUCCAACCUUUCCAAUCCCAAGUCAAAGGACUACUGACACAACAGAAGUUUCUUACUGCAACACUUGAUCUCUUUCCAUCGUUCUUAUUUUUACUUUUUUUAUUUUCUAUUUUUUGAAGGGAUUAGUGUCGUUUUUGGCACAAAAAGUAUCUCCUAAGAUAUAGUACCAAUACUGGGUCAGAAGGCCUGAACUUGCCACACUCAGAACAUCAAAACUCUCCCAGUGCUAUUUUCUCCUAGAGCCUGCCUGCUAGUAUGACCUGCAACAACGUUUAAUCAUCAUUAUCAUUUAUUUUCUUGUCAGUUGUUCAUAAUAGCUAACAAGCAGCCUUAAACCAAUGUUCCCAAAUUUUACACCCAGAAAACCUAAAUAACCUGACAUCUAGACUUACUUUUGGACUCUAUUCCAAAUGUAUAACCUCAUAAUACUUGAUGGCCAUAAAUACACAAAAAAUCAAUAUGGGAGAAAGGAAGCAUCUAAUUACUGGAUUAACUUUCACUGUUUCAGUUAACCUUAGGACCAUCUUAUCCAGGACAAUACUUGAGCCAUUCUGAUAUAAGUAUGAUAUAUUGUUAGCUGAUUGGCUCUAAAGUUUGCUUUAACAUUCCAUGACCGUUUAGAAGAAGCAUUCUUCCUUUUCAACGUCAAAAAGUGUAAAAUCAAUACCUGAGGAAGAGAAUCCACAAAUCUGGGAUGCUCUGGUGGUUCUUCAUGCUAUAGCAACUACAAAGUUGCAUUGUUCUCUCAGUCUAAACCCAAAGAGAUGCACUCUAUUGGAAGUGGAGUAACAAGAGUCUGGGAGAUCAAUCUCAGGAAGCAAUAAAGAAAAGACACACUGAUAUCAUACGAAGCUUAUAACUACAAAUCUAAUUGAGGAAACCGAAAACAGUACAAUUAAAUCUCGACAAAAGAUUGUCAUACCUUGUCAUAAUGACAAAAUUUCCCCUUAACUACAAAAGGAAAAUGAUAUGGGAACAAUUUUUCUUUUCUUCCAAUGAACCUUGAAUGGCUGAAUCAAAAGAACAAGCAAUGCAACUGCAAAAUAUCACCAGUUAGACACUACCUGCAAAGCCUCUACUUCAGGUCAUACUCAUGUAUGUACAGCAGAUAUGGAAUGCACGCAUUAUGGAAUCAAAGAUAGCAAUGCCUCCAUACAUUCACCGGAUUGUAACAAACUUAUUCGUUCCAUGCUUUGCCCAGUGAUUCCUUAAAUCAAUUGGGUUAGAAAAAUUAAAACCUUCUGAAGCAAGUUUCUCCAAAACCUUCCUAAAUGCUCCCAGACUCAUCUUGCGCCCGGCGAUCCUGGCACCACGUCUUUUAGCACUCAUUGGCAAGGGAUACACAGACAUGCCAGUUGUACAGCAAGCAGACUGCCAUCCACCAGCACCCCACCUAUAACACUGUUGAGCAUUUCCAGUGCACGUGCAAACUGGUAUGGGAAUCCCUGAUAUAUCCAUGCUGAUUCCAUUAAUGAUGACUUCUGCACUUUUCUUGGGAGCCCUUGCCCGAUGUAAAGAUCGACUAGACUCUUCUCUUGGAGGCUUAGGAGCUUUCUUAGGCUUCUUGGCUUUUGGAGAUUUGGGGACUUUACCACCUCCCCUCUUCUUAACAGCCCCAACAACACCUCUAGUCUCACAAAUUUCUUCCUCCUGAGGACCAACAUCGUCAUUAUUCAACAAGCUGCUCUGCUGAAUCAUUUGGACAGAAUGAGCUGAAGACGUUUCUGGCAAGACCCCAUAAUUUAUUUGGGGAUGAUGGUGCUGUGAAUGGUGUUGGUUCUGUUGCUGGGGAUGGAGCUGGAGCUGGUGCGGGUGCUGGUUAUUUGGUAAGGCAUUAAGAUAUUUUUCUCUAUGGUUAAGCCAAACAUCCCUCAUGUAAUCCACAGGAAUGGAGGACUCUGAAAUCCCACCAACACGAUGAUGGUGAUAGGGCCCCCCAUUGGUGGAGGGCGCCAUUAUCGAUGAAUAAGCCUGAUGGGGAUGGUGAUGUUGAUAAGGAUGAUUCUCCCUUCCCCCACCAAAAAGGGGUUUUUCAGUCAUGGUGGACAUAAGCUGCAAGCCUAAAUGCCCAGCACCCUUCAGGGCAGGCGUUGGAGUUGGCUCGAAAAACCCCCAAUUCCUCAAAUUCAUACUGCCAUUGCCGUCCAUCCCAAAAACAGCAAGAACCAACAGAUUGCCAAAAAAAAAAAGAUUCAAAAUCUUUCAACAACUCACCUACUAUUUUCUGUCGUUUUCACGGCCAAAGUGAAAAUUCACAGGAUAAAUCCCCAUUCAUGAUUACGAACCCUACAUAAACCACACCGGAUAAAAUGGCAAAAAGAAAAAAACGUAUAUCUUUAGAGAGCAUGAUGAAGAAAAAUACAGCAUAUAUAGAUUCAUAUCUGAAGACAAAAGUCAAUGCAUCUGUGCGUGUGAAUGUGGGAUACUGAAAUGCUAAUAAAAAUAAAUUCUGCAAAAUCAAAAAAUCUGCACUUGUUUUAAUGUUUUCCUUUUUUCUUUAAAUUUGGAAUCUAAUCUUAGAUCUCUGUACAAAGUUAUCAAACAAAUGCAUGUAAUGGAGUGGAAUGAUAAAAUGGUUAGCAAUGAAUUGAACUGUAAAAAAGAGAAAGAGAGCUUACUGCGGACUGAAGAAGAGGAGAGAGGCUGGCUAGGGUUUGUGAUUUGUGCCUCCCUGUGACUUCGAGUAACGAGAGUGUGAGAAGAAAAUAAAUGAACCAAAAUAAAAGAGAAAAUAUAGCAUUGGAAUUUGGAAAUGAACUAAAGUGCAAUUUUAGAAACAAAUGUCCCAAACACUUUGAAAAAUGAAAAAUAUUUGGGGAAAAAAAAAUAAAAGAACGCUUCACUUCCACCAUUGGGCUUGUGUUUGUGCCAACUGCAUGACAUUUUAGCUUGUCUUUAAUCACUGACUUUUUCUUUUCGUCACAAAAAAAGUUAACUAAGUUGCUUUUUUGUAUGAAUUAGGUAUUUUUGAAAAAUUACACUGCAACAUUAUAUUUAAAAAAAUUUCUAGUGAAUUAAGUCGUACGGAUUAUGUGUUUUUGAAAAUAUAUUUGAAAUUUAUUAAAAUUUAAAAUUUUACGGAGUUAUUUUUUCAAAUUUAUUAGAUUUUAUUACCUCCCAUCAUUGUCAAUUCCUCUCCUCGCUCUUCACCCUCUUCUCCUUCUUCCAUCGUUUCCACGCUUCUCCCUCCUACCCUACUCUUCUCUAUCGUGAUCGAGGAAAGGAAAGGAAUGAGAAGGGGGCUACGAGGGAGAGGAGGGGAAGAGAGAGGAAAAGGAAGAAGAGGAAAAGGAAGGAGGGAAGAAGAGGGAAAGGGAUGGUGAUAAUGGAGGAAGGAGCAAGAGAGGAGGUGAUGGUGGUAGUAGGAGAAGAAAGAGGUAGUCUAUUUAUUUUAUUUAUUUGUUUUAUUAUGUAUAUUUGAGAUGGUACGUAUUUUGAUUAUUUUUGGAGGUGUUUUUGUAGCGUGUUAUCAUAGACUUUAAAAACAAAAACUUCUUUUUUCUUAAAUACUAGGCCGUCCAAGCAAAGCCACUUUUGAAAAAUAUUUCGAAAUGAAUUAAAGUGCAAUUUUAGAAACAAUGCCCCAAACCCUCUGAAAAAUGAAAAAUAUUGGGGGGAAAUAUAAAGUAAAACAAAAUAACCCUUCACUUCCUGCUUUGGGCUUGUUUUGUGCCAACUACAUAAUAUAGGGUUAAUCACAUUUAAUCCCCUUAAGGUAUAUCCCAUUUUUCAGUUUACCCCAUAACCUUUAAUUUUGCUCACUUAACCCCCAAUAGGACAAAAUUGCCCUUGCAUUAUUUUGACUUUUUCUUUACCUUGUUUUCCUUUCUUUUAUUUUUUUUUCUCUUUCUUCUUUAUUUAAUUCUUCUUCUUUCCCACAAAAAUUUUCACCUUAAUGAUUGAAAUUAAAAAAGAGUAAUUGCAGAGAUCUAUCUUCUCCUUAAAUGAUUAAAAAAAAUAUUCAAAUCACUUUCCUAAAAUACAAUUUUUUUAGCCUUUCAAUUCUUUUAAUUUUGGGUUUUCCUUUUUCCUUUCUAAUUUCUCAUUUUAUUCUCAAGAAAAUAUCAUAAGAUGAAAUUGUUUUCCUUUCUUUUAUUUCUUUUUCUCUUUCUUCUCUCUUUCAUCCUUCCCGAUAGAAAAUUCCAUUUCACUGAAAAUUUUUGUUUUGAGUUUGUAAUUGCAUAUUUCUAGGUGAAGGUUUAAAAGGCAUCAAAAACUAAUUUUUAUUUUUUGUAUGAUACCACGUGUCACAAAUUUCAAUUGAUGAUUAUUAAUCAGGUCACAAUUUCAUCUUAAGAUAUUUUAUUGGGAAUAAAAUGAGAAACUAGAAAGGAAAAAAGAAAAUCCAAAAUUAAAAAAAAUUGAAAGGCUACAAAAAUUGUAUUUUAGGAAAGUGAUUUGAAUAUUUUUUAAAUUAUUUAAGGAGAAGAUAGAUCUCUACAAUUCAUCUUUUUUAAUUUCAAUCAUUAAAGUGAAGAUUUUUGUGGGAAAGAGGAAGAAUUAAAUAAAGAAGAAAGAGAAAAAGAAAGGAAAACAAGGUAAACAAGGUAAAUGAAAAGUCAAAAUAAUGCAAGGGCAAUUUUGUCCUAUAAGGAAUUAAAUGAGCAAAAUUAAAGGUUAAGGAGUAAACUGAGAAAUGGGGUAUACCUUAAGGGGAUUAAAUGUGAUUAACCCCAUAACAUAUUAGCAUGUCUUUUCUUUUCAUAACAAAAUGUUGUUUAAGGUAAACUAAAAUUAUAUUUGUGUGAAAAAUAUUUUCUCUCUACUUUCUCUAACAAAGAUAUCAUGUUUGUGCAUCUUAUUCUUAAUUUUUUUGGUGCUUGGCUUGUAAAAAUAGUGCUAAUUAUAUCUUCUACUACCAUUUAUAUUUGGGUUAUUAUCACUUUACCCCCUUAACGUUUGGUGCUACUAUCAAUUUCUCCCUUAAAAUUAUCUUUUAGCCACUUUAUCCCCAAGACUAACGGUCAAACUUAACGGACUUUGUUAAUUAAAGUGAAAAGAUAUGUUUAACCCUUAAAAUUAUUAUUACUUUACCCCCAUAAAAUAUAGUCUCAUUAUCAAUUUACCCCAUAAAGUUAUUUUUUAGACAAUUUAUCCUACUAUUAAACCAAUUUAACAAGUUAAAAAAACUUUAGAAGAAAAUACCCUUCACUUUGCAUAAUAAAAAUAAUAAAAAAUUUAGAGUGACUCUUCUCCUUUUUAGUAUCAAGAAAAAAAGUCAAAAUAUUAAUUUCUUUCUUCUUGAAAAUCUUAUUAAUAUUGAAAAAAAUAGAAAGAUGGAGAGGGGGAGGGGGAGAGUUCAAUUCUUUUUUAAAAAAUUACAAAUAAGAAAGAAUUAAAUACUGUUAUUAUUUUAAAAUUAUGUCAUUUUUUUGUUUACCACCAAAUUUCAAUUCUAAUCCCGACAACCUUAAAGUAAUACGAUAAUGUUAGACUUUUCUUUAUUUUAUUUUUUUUGCAAAAUCUAAUUUUUUGUCUCCUUCUUUCCUAUCUCUUUUUCAUUUCCUAGUAUUAAUAAGUGUGAAAUUUUUUUUGAGAAAACCCUUUUAUUUUUAUAUUUUUCGAUCUCUUAAAGUGAAAAAAAGGAAGAAUAACCAUUCCAACUUUUUUAUUUUUAAUUAUAUAUAAAAAAGGGUAAAUAUAUUUAAAAUUUUUUGACCAUACUAGUUAGAUUAAUGAUGAGGUAAAAUGCCUAGAAAAUAAUAUUAGGAACUAAAGUGAUUGUAUCACUAUAAUCCAAAUGAAUAAAGUGAUAAUAACAAUGUAGUAAUACUAUAAAAUAAAAGGGUGGUUUUGUAAAAAAUUUCUUAACAUGUUUAAUUGAAUUACUUAUGGGGGUAAUGUGAUUAAAAGAUAACGUUAGGGGGUAAACUGAUAGUAGUGAUAUAGUUUAAGGGGAUAAAGUGAUAAUAACCCUUUAUAUUUACAAGAUAAACGUUUGCAUCUAGAACAAUUAAUUUCAAAUAGGCAUUUCGGUGUCUAUUUUUCAACUCAUACUAUCAAAAUCAUUCUUUUGAAGUUGGCAGAAUAAAUUUUUAUCACCUUGACCAUUUUUUUUCAAUGUAUUUGGCGUUCAAUUCAUUAUUUAUGUAGUUUGCCUUUCAUUUUCAAAGUCGGUUCAAGGUAAAAUAAUACUAGCAUCUAGUUUGCUUUUAUUAAGUGUGUGAACUAUGAAUUAACAAAGGUCUCAAAUCAUGAGUUUCUUCCAAAUGCAAUUCUGCUUAUCCUAAUCAAAACUUAAAUAGGAGGUUAUCCAUAUCUAUUUUUCAUCUAUAUUUCAAGCAUAUUGAACAAUCUUGCACAAGACAAUCAACAAUUCAAUCAAAUGAUAUCGAGCAUGCUUACCAUCUCAUUUCGAGAAACAAAUGCAUAAUGCAAUAUAAAAUAAACGACUAGCAUCUUUCAAAAGAAAAAAAGAUCAAAAAGGUGAAUGACUAGCAAAUUGUCGAAACAAUUCUUUUUACAAUUUCUUUCAUAUCAUCACGUAUGUUUUUAUUCCAAAAGCUAUUGAUAACUAUAGAAAAUUAUCUAAAGCACCAGAAAUUUAUAAAAAAAAAAUUCACACAUAAUUAUUUUUCCAGGUUAUUCAUUUCUUAAAAUUUUUCAGGGAGGGUUCUUUUCAAAUACUUACUUUUUUGGUGCAGAUUACAGCUUUACUGUUUUAUGUCAUGCAAAAUAAAGUGGAAAAGGGGAGAUAAAUGCUGUGAUCAAUCAAACAUAAAGCUGCAUGCAACCCUAUAAACUAUUUAGAGAACACAAAAUACUUCUGAUUUUAAUUCUCAUUGAAACCAUGUUUGUCACAUUUCUUCAUUAUGCACUCUACUUGCUUUGCUUUAACAUUUUUUUUCAUUUCUUGUACGCUCAGAUAAUAUUUUACCAUUUUCGUUUUUAAAUAUAUAGAUGGCAAAGUAGAGGAAGAGACUGCAUAAUGCAUGAGUAUCCAAGAACCUCAAUGAGGUUGAACAAUUUUAUCCUUUUCUCAGCCGGUAAUUCUAAAAAUACCGCAACGAUCUGCCAAAAAAAAGGGAAAAAGAACCAGGUCUAUAGAUUUCACCUCUUAAGCAGAGCAUUAGCACUCAGUUUCUAUAUCCUCCACAGUCUAUUUAUGCUACGCAAAUAGUUUUCCGUUUAAAUUGCUAUUUUUAGAAGUUUUCAUAAAAAAAUAUAUACAGUAACAACUUGAUAUGUACAAAAUAAAAAGAUGAUUGAAAAAUAUAUUCAUAAAAAAUAGUACGCUGUUCAGUUCGAGAGACGAGGAGCUUGAAAAGCCAUUUACCACUUAAGGUGUCAGCCACUGGAGGCCCAGUGGUCAUCCCAAGCCUUCUUAGACUUGAUGGUGCGGGAGGUCAAGGGUUCGAACCUUACCUCCUACAAAAAUUGUCACAAUAUGUGACGGUCUUCAUUGACCAGUUUAAAGAUGAAUGCUUAAUGGACCCAAAUAUGGGCCUAGUCAUUUGAUGGGUUUCCGAACUAAUGUCGAAGAAAGAAGACCAAUUCCACAUACCCCAAACACCCCCACCCAAGAAAGGUGAGUGCAUGGCAAUUUCUGCAGCCUACAUAAAAUGGCACUCUUUCCAAUUGAAGAUGAAGUCCAAGGAAGAUAUGUAGUGUUGUUUUAAGAUAAUUUGUUAUACAUUUUAUCUUUUUCUUUCCUUCCUUUUUUGGUUUAGUUUCUAUUCAUCCUCAUUUCAAGAAACACUUCCUUAAAAAAAAAAAAAAAAAAAAAAAAGAAGACACUUGGGAUAGUGAUUAACUAUGCAAUGAUCAAUUAUAGGAAUUUUUUCUUUUCUAGAGGAUCCCAUAUUCAGAAGAUUUUGCUCUGACCCACUCACUCGUUCUGCAGUCUUCUUAUAGCGCUCGUACCGUGCAUGUGGUCGCCCAUUGAUGCACUGACGAAGCACUAUCUGUUGCAUAUUGGCUGUGGAAAAAGAAGGAAUAAAGUUCGUUGCCACCAAAAUCUCUGCCUGGAUAUUGUAGCGACAUAUCAAGUGUGCCAUCAUGAACACAAAGCAAAUAAUGCUUCCAUAUUUCCAACUCUUACGUCAACAACCAAUGAUUGGAUCAGAACCACUUCUUGUGUCCAGAAAUGUGGAAAAUAGUAAAUGAAAAAUGAUUUUUUACGUGGUUGUUAUGUGAUCGUAGAUGUCACAUGAAACCUACAUUGUUCGAUGGGAACAAGAGUAUGAAUUGGUUAUCAACUACAGCUUCUUUCUUUCUUUCUUUCUUUUUUUCAAAAAAAAAAAUUGUUUGAAUUCGUCUCCAGUUACCAUCAUGGAUCAGGACACGCUUCUGGCAGUAGCGGAACUAAGAUCUAUAGCCAGCAGGGGUAGUAUUACACACUUAAAAUGAUGUUGGUAAUGCGCAAAGAAAAUUUUGAUUAAAAAUUAUGUUUUAUUGUGAAUUUUUUGUGUUGUGAAAGUGUUGAAGUUAUUUCUUAUUCAAGCAGUUAUCAAUUUUGUGUUUUAAUAGCUUUAAAACAUUUGUUCUAUUAAAGAGAUUGUCUAAGAGAAAUUUGGUUGUUUAGGGAGACCAAAUGAGGAGAAUGAGGAUUUCUUGUAAUAUAGAGAGGCAAAGUAAAGAGAAAAGGGUACUAUUCAAAUUUGAGGGGGUGCAAUUAUGAUAAAAAUAUAAAAAACUUGUAAUAGUUUCAAGGCUAUUUUUUAAAAUUUUGCAAAGUUGAGAGUGGGAGGGAGUGAUUACCAACCCUCAACACGAAGUGGCUUCGCCAUUUGCCUCCCGGACUACAGAUCAUUGAAAGCGAUUUUUACAGAUUGUUUAUCGGUACAACUCUUAUAUCGACAACAUAAUUUGAAUACAGAUUUUUUAUGAAGAAGUGGUCCGCGUUUCUCACCUACGGAACCAACUUGUGUUGGCUAUGUCACUAUAGCUGUGUUUAAAGGUCAAUCAAAUAAAGGUACUGUGUUUAUAUAUCUUUGGUUGGGCAUAAUCUUAAUUAGGUUAUGAGUUUCUAGUUACCCAAAGCAACUUUACUUUUGAUAUUAGCAUUAUAGAGGUUCCUGCUAUUCUGUUGCGAACUUCUUUUGACUGUUCGGUUUUCGAUAAAUUCAACAUUUUCUCCUACUUCAGAUCGCCGAAUAUCGAGAUGCACUAAUUUCCAUCUAAGGUAAAAAAAACAGCUUUCUAAUGUGACAAUCAGACUCUUUUUCUGCAUGCUAGAUAGAAUAGUCGUUAGGACCAUAACUACUGUCUAAUUAUGUUAGACAAGCAAUCAUUUCCUUUCAUCUCUCGUAGAUCACCAUAUCUUAGCGAAAAAAGAGAUGCUAAACUGAGAUUUGACACAAAAAGGUAGUGAUUGAAGAGGGAAAUAUAAAUGAUCAGUAUAUUAAUAAUUUUUCUUACAGUUGCUUCCAAGACUCAUCUUAGUCGGAAGGAAUAUUAAUGAGGAGAGUUUGAGGUUCUUGAUUUGAAUAUCAAACCCUUUUCUUUCCCAUUUUUCUCUUACAAGACUUGUAGUUUCCCUUAAAAUUUUUCCUAUAUACUUAGUAUUUCUUUUUUUAAUACUAACAGGUCUGAAAGUAUAAUACAUAUGCAAAAAUAAUUAAAUUUUGAUAGAAAUUAUAUGACGUGCAUCUAACUAUAUAUAUCAGUGUAGAAACACUUUUUACACUUGUAUAGGGUCAAAAAGAUUGAUCUUUAUAAGUAAUUCUCUAUGUCUUGUCGAUAGACAGAUUACUUUAGCACUAAAAUUUUAAAUAAUCAAGAAUUAAUCCAAACGCAUGUAUUUGAUUAGUCACCGAAUCGGUCGGUCAAAUCACGUCGGGGUGUUAAAGAAAGGUUGAACUUGUAUUAUCUUUUACGUGUUAAUUAAGACAACUGCUGUUUACUAUGCUGCCUGUCUUUUUCUACACACAGUCGAAAAUCAUUUACUUUAUGCUCAAAUCAUUGAUCGGUUUACAACUCAUUUAAAGGUAAUAGGAAUGUAAUUAAACAACCUAAAGCUUUUUUACAACGUUUUGCAUUGCAUAAACGGCUAAUCAAAGAAACUUAGCAACUCUUUGAGAUUAUUAAUCCUUAUUAACAUCAAUACUUCCACUGCCAUGCUGCAUCCUGUUUCUCGUUCACCUUUUAAGAAAUGAAGAAAAGAACACAGCCAUCCAAAAUUUGUUGUCUGAUACGUGUUGGCCAAUCAACAAUUCAAGGCAUAUACACUGAUUGAUCCCAUGGCAGUGCAUCUGGAUAUCAUUAUGCUUCACACUCCACAACACAAGUGGAGAAAGAAAGAUCGAAAAAGAUGCAGACAAAAGCCGAAAGGAUUUGAAGCCUACCAUAUAACAAAAGGGGCUGAUAGGCAAUCUUCUCCACUAGUGCUCAAAACUAUUACUACUAUAUAUUCCUAUGUAUUUGCUGCCUAUUCCCGAAGUGCAUUAUUGCGUUAACCCCAUACUGUUCACUUGUCCCCUACAUGCCCCCUCACCCCAUCCCUCUCUUUGUACAUCCAGUUGCACACAUAGAUAUGGGAUGGUAAUUUAACCCAUUCCUUCGAUUGUUUUUUUUUUUUAAUAUAUAUAUAAAGCUUCAUGGGAAUAUAUGUUAAAUUAGAAUGCCUAUCAUUUUAGGCAGACAGGAUCCUCUGUCCAAUAUUUUGUGUUCACUUUCCUAUCUAAUGCAAAACUACGUAGUUCCACUUAUUAUAUCUGCUGAUGUGGCACAUAAAAAAGAAAGGCUGUUUGGCUGCCUUAUUGGACAGGAAAGUGGACACAAAAUAUUAGACAGAAGAUCCCGUCUGCAUUUUAGGUCCAUUUAAUAAGCAUAUAAUAUUUGCAUGCAACACGGAUUCAGCAUUUUCGCAGCAUGGCAUGCAAGGCCUCCAGAAAAUUACUGUAUGUAUUACUUUCAGACUAAUUAAGUGAAUGCAACUUUAACUAAACAGAAAUCGUAAAAAUCCAAUUCUAGUUUUGAAACAAAGUGAUCCGUUAUAUCUAGCUCCUCAAAUUUCAUUGUACUUGUCUUCAUUUUUAUGUCGGGUUUCCUCCCUUCUUUGUAUGUUUAAUAUACAUAAACUACAUAUAUAUGUGCUUAUUUCUUCUUUUAUAUUCUCAAGUUUUUGUUCAUUUUUAAAUGUAGUCAGGACUGAAUUAACAUGGUCCUUGGACAGAUUCAUGAACUAGGACAAGCUGACUUUCUCGCCUAGCUAAUACUUCGAUUUUCUAAUGCAUUAAUAUCCGACAAUAACUCUAGAUGCACUGAUCUUGCACAUAACUAGAACUAACCUGCUCAUGUGCUGUGGCAAAACCAGGCAAAAAUCAAAUAAACUAAGUGCACCUUCAUUGUGCAAUAACAUGCUAAUUAAGCCAACUAGAACUACAUGGAUAUUUCUCUCGAGUAAUCUACUUCUUCAAUUUAAUUAAGUUUCAGUAUCUCUGUAACUAACUGCCUGCAAUAUGGGAAGCAAAAAAUCAUCCCAGAAGAAUUUUGAUUCCAUUAUCAUCUUUUUCCUUGGAAGUGGUGCAAAACAAAUAUAAUCUAAGCUUGUUGCAUGGAUGUUUCUCUAUCAAGCCAUGAGGCUAAUUAAAAUGGUGAAUAUAUACUAGCAUAUUUUGUAUUGCGAAAGAUAUCUAUCCUACAAUUAUAUUAUAUGGCCAGAAAUUAACUUUACACCGGAAAGUACGUCUGCUAUCUCAAAACUACUUUGUAAUAGGCAUUUAAGUGGUGAUAGUAUACUGAGUGGAUUCAACCAUGAAAUGAUGGAGAUUGGAUGAAUUUCGCUCAAACAAGAACAUUUUGCUCAAGUUCCUUCGUUUUUAUUUUCUCUUGUAAGGUUCAGAAUCUUGCUAAGCUCAAAAACCAAGAAGUUAUAAUUUUUUUUAAGUUUGUAAUGAUGCAAGGAUUUGGAUUCUUUGGAUUGCUUCUGAGAAAGGCCAAAAGGGUAAAAAGAGUAAAGAGAGAUAAGUUUGAAUAAACUAUUUCAAACUUAAACCAGCAAUGUGAAUAAGUUUGACCAAUAAAUCACAUAUAAAACAGAAAUCGAAAUUUUUUUUUUUUAAAAAAAGAAUUGACAUUAAUUCUAGGACCUAGGGUAGUGCUCAAGGACAUUACAAUAAACUUAUAAGAAUAGUACUAAGAUAUUGGCUAACCCUAGUGUUCUUUGCUUUUUUCUUUUUUUUUUUUAGGAGGGGGUGGUGUGGGGGAGGGGCUUAACUCAUUCAUUAAAAAAGGUUGGUUAGGGUCGAAUUCAUCUAAAUUAGAAACAGAAAUGUUGAAUAUUUUCUGUCCAGAAUUUUUGAAAUUUAUAAACACAUUUUUUUUUUUAAAAAAAGUACAAUCCCGUGCAAUGUACGAGUUCCCUACCAGUUUGCAAUGUAACACUUGGCUCUUUGCAAUGAAUACGUAAUUUCCGUACCAUAUAGGAAAAUAAACAUUAUGCCAUUUUCUUCAUUAUAGACAAACAUUUGUCCCACCCCCACUUUUCUAAAAAUCACUGUAUAUAUAUUGAAGGAAAAAGAAAGAAAGAUAAGACUUGAUAGAAGGAGAUAGCAAUGGAAGGGGAAAACGCCAAUGAGUUCUACAGAGAGUGCCAAAGAAACCAUGCAGCCAAUCUCGGCAACUAUGCAACUGAUGGCUGUGGAGAAUUUUUGCUAGAUCAAACUUCCCCGGGUACACUACUGUGCGCUGCAUGUGGAUGCCACCGCAAUUUCCACCGCAAACUCACCUAUGGAGCAAACUACAACCGUGGCUCCAACUCCAACCAAGAAACAGCCACCGAGAUGAUGGAGUAUAGUGGAGGCGGCGAUGAUGGCAGCGGCGGAGGACAGCAGGCGGCCGAAUCGCCGGACAGGAUGAGCAGCAAGAAGAGGUUGAGGACAAAGUUUACACCAGAUCAGAAGGAGAAGAUGCUUGCAUUUGCUGAGAAGUUGGGAUGGAAGCUGCAAAGAAAAGAUAUGGAGGAUGAGGUGGAAAGGUUUUGUAGCAGCAUAGGUGUGAAUAGGAAGGUUUUUAAGGUGUGGAUGCACAACCACAAAAACUCUUCCUCAGCCUCUACAUCUGCUGGCAAUGCUUCAUCUCUCACUCAAUAGAGAAACAGAUCUUGGGAGGUUUGUUUAAAACUUUAAUCAAGUUCUUUUGGGGUGACCUUAAUUAGCACUACUGAAAAUAUGAUGAAAACGGUUUUAAUACUACUGAUAUAUUCUCUAAUUUCUUUAGUCAUUCAAUUGAUGGAGCAAACAAAACUAAUCAUUCUAUGAGGAUUUCAUUGCAAAAGAUGAGCCAAUAAUCGCUUAGUGACUAGUAUAAACUGAUACUUUGUGUAUCUUUACUUUUUGAUUCAUUGGCUCUUGAAUGAAGAUUGACUGUAAAUCUAAGGAUGGAUAACAUGAGCAAUAAGCAAGCUGAUUUAACAUUGCCAUAAUUUCAUCAUCUUUCUCUAUCAAAUUAAAAACUCGAUACAAAAUAACUCAUAUGUACAUCAAAAUUAAACGGUUUUGCUUAGUUUGUUUGACUCGUUACACUUAAUUGUCUUGUACAAGGCAUGAAUCUCAAAAAUUAUUUUCAAUUAAGUACUUAAUGGAGGAUUCUCUAUUUUCCCUAGAUAAAGAGCUAGGAUCCUCUAUCCACUCAACCCUCUGUUUGGAUAGAGUAUUACUUCCGAAAGAAAAUGAAUAAUUUCUUAGGCAAAAUUUUUUUUUUACUACCCUUUUAUUUUUUCAACAUCUGUUACAUAUCUCACAUUACAAAAAUUGCUAUAGCGAAUAAUACAAAAAGAACUAAUUAAUAGUCUGACACUUGUGCGUGCGCGCGUGCGUGCGUGCAACUCACAUGUGAUUUACUCUUUGUAAUUUGUUAAGAAAAAUUUAAUCGUGAGGUUAAAUAGAUUGAAAUCCUCAUUCAAUGUGAUUCGACACGAAUGAUUUAAUCAUCUGAGCUUUUGUUAAAGUGAGUUGGAAUAUUUCAAGAUGUAUUGAGUCUCUUUAUCGCAAUCCUUCUUUCAAGGAACCACUUAUGUAGACUCUAAUUGUCCAUAGUUGGUUAAGUGAUAUACUUUCAACCAACCAAAUUAGAAAUUUGGGAAAUUUGAAAGUGAUUUCCUUUUGAGACUGAUCUUAAGUGGAGUCCAUAAGUUGCCUAAGUGGGUCUGAUACACGUGCAAUUUAAGUCUCAUUCUUUCAACUGUUUUAUUUGUUUUCUUUUAGGGUUAAUGUUAUUUAUAUAUUAACGAAAUAUACACUAAUACGAUUAAAUGCGUGUCACAUUGUAAAAAUAAACUUCAAAUUCAAAUUAGAAUUAAUUGGCCUAAAUUCAAAAGCACUAGCUAGUGUAUACAUUAUCAGUGCGUGCAAAAAUAAUCCUUUGUUUUAUUUAAAGAUCAAAAGUCUAGCAUGUAAUGUUUCACAAAUUUCUCAUCAAAUUAAAAUCAAGAACAUAUAUCCUAGAAGCAUUGGGGUGAAUAUGAAGGUUUUUAAGGUUUGGAUGUACAGCCACAGAAACUCUUCCCAGCCUCUACUCCCUAUAUAUAUAUACCAAAGCUUCAUCUCUCACUUGGGAAGUUAAUUUGUGUACUCCUUUCAUCAAAUUUUUAUGAGGAAAACGUUAAAAUAGUGAAAAUUUGAUGAAAAUGACUCUAAAAAAUACUUUUGAUACCUUCCAUAAUUCUAGUCACUGCACAGUGGAGCAAGCAAAACAAAUCAUACUCUCAAGAUAUCGUGGCACAAGAUAAAGGAACAUGACUGGGGGGACUACUACAAACUGAUAGUUGAUUGCGUACUGAAACUUUAUGUCCUCUUUACUUUUUGUUCAUUGGCUCUUGGAUGAAGAUCAACGAUAAAUCCAUGGAGAGAUAACCAAAGCUGAUCCAGACUCACCAUGGUUUCCAACAUCUUUCUCUAUCAAAAAAGAACUCAAUAGGGCAAAAUGACUCCUAUAAGUCAAAAUGGCUGUUGUUUAUUUGAUUUGACUUGUUGGUGCACUUAACUGUAGUAUUAUACAAGGCAUGAAACCUUACAAAUUAUUUUCAUCAAUAUCUCCCACAUAAAGAGGAUCCUCUAUCCACUCAACUCUUUGUUUGGAUAGAGUACUACUUUUUUUUUAUAUCAUUUCUUGGACACAUUUUAAUUCAAUUUUAUUUUUUAAUUAUCUUUUUAUCUAAUAUAUGUCGCAUCAUAGAAAAUGUUGCAGUUGAGACAUUUUUGUGCGCGUGCAACAGACACGUGACUUAUUUUUUCUAAUUUUUAAGAAAAUUUUUGAACAGAAUGAAAUUCUCACUUAGUGGUAUUUGAUGCAAAUGGUUUAAUCAUUUGAGAUUUUUUUAAAAUGGGUUGGAUGAAUUCAAGAUAUAUUAAAUCUCUUUAAUUGCAAUGCUUCUCUCAAGGAAACACUUGAUGACUCUCAACGUCCACUGUUCAUGAAUUGAUAUAAUUUCAACUAACCAAAUUAGAAAUUUGGGAAAAUUAUAAGUUACUAUUUUCUUUUAAAUUUAGAUUUGAACUCUAAAUUUUAUGCAUGUGCAUUUAAAUCUAAAUUUUACACAUGUGACAUGCUACAAUUUUUGAAAAAUUGUUUUCAAUUUGAGCCACGUUCAGUAAUGCACCCUCUCAAUUUUUUUAGAAACUAUAGCAUAACUUAUAAAAAUGUUAAAUUUUUUAGCAUUGCCCCACUCUUGACCCUCUUAAAUUUUGAUAAUAUUCUCUCUAACCCCAAGAUUGCCCCCCAUAAGUGUUGAAAUUUUUUUUCAACUGCUCUCAACAUUUCCACCAUGAAAUAUUGAACUAAAAUAUAUGACAGGCUACUACUUUUUCCUUUCUAAUAAAUGUUAUUUACUUACUGAACUUUUCCUAAUAUUCAACCACAUGAAUUACAAGUAAAGGAAAAUAUUCAUUUGAUGGUGAUUUAAUUCGCCUACUGUAUAUAUUAGAAUUUUAAUUUUGUAUUCUUCUAUAUAAUUUUAAUUACUAUAACAUUUUAUACCAUUAGAUGACUGGUAAACGACAGAUCACAAGCAAAAGAAUCUUUUUAUUUUUGUAAUAUUUAUUAUUGAAUAAAUUGGUGUAUUUUUAUAGCAAGUUUUUCAAAAAAUGAUUAUAACAAAUAUUUAGUUGUUUCAAAAAUUUACAAAACAAUAUCUUGUAAGAUUAAACUAAUAUUAUUAGAAUCCAUGAACAAAAGUCCUGACUUCACCACUGGUAAAAAUGGUUUUAGUACUUCUGAGUUCUUCUCUCUAUAUUACUUAUCCAGUCAAUGAAUACAUUGAGCAAGCAAAACUAAUCAUACUCUCAAGAUAUCGUUGUAAGAGAUAAAGGAAACUGACAAAAGUCUGUAGUUGAUUGCGCACAGAUAUAUUGUUGGUUUCUUUACUUUUCAUUCAUUGGCUCCUGGAUAAUGAUCAAUUAUAAGGGUUCUACAUAGUGCUGAAUUCAACAAUAAUGUAUAAGAUCAAGCAUCAUUCUCUACAUAAGCACCCUAAAUCUACCCUUAAUAAAUACUAAUAUUAUACUUUUGGGAUUAAUUUUAAUACACUGUCAGUGUAAACUUUUUUUUUUAACAUCGGGUUUAGAUGAAUAACGUACACAUCAUUACCAUUCAAAUUUUAAAUUCACUUUUUAUUCAUGUGUACUAUAUUUAUAUCUAUUAGUGUAAAAAAUCUUUACACUGACAGUGUAUAUAACUUUAAUUCUAUACUUAUUGAUAUUCCCAUUUUUUUAACUUUGGAUAUUAAUCGACACAUGUCAAAAGAUACCCUCAUCCGCACUUGAGAAUUUGCCAAGUAUAAUUCCAUGGAAAGAUAACAUGAGCAAUAAUCAAGCUGAUUCAAAAGUUGCUAUGAUUUCCAUCAUCUUUCUCUAUCAAACAAAAAGCUCAAAAGCACAAAAUGACCAGUAAACAUCAAAAUGGUCUUCCCUUAUUUGAUUUCAACUCUAGCACGUAAUUGUCUUAAUAAACAUGAAAUUUUGCAAUUUUGUUGUCAUUAAGUAAGUACUUAAUGCAGAAUUCUCUAUUUUCCCUAGAUAGAGAUUAGAGAGGACAUCCUAUCCACAACUCUGUUUGGAUAGAAUUUGUUUUUUUUUUGGGACCCGUUUAAAAACAAAGUACUAUAGCGAAUAGCACACAAAAUUAUUUCAGUUGUCUUCACUGUAAACGAAUAGCACUCUCAUUGUCGUGUGCAACUCAUGUGUGAUUUCCUCUUCGUAAUUGCUAAGGAAAAAAUCUAAUUCUUCUGCUAAAAUGAGUCAAAUCCAUUCAAGGUAUUGAAUUUCUUACUUGCAAUUCUUCGUUUCAGAAAAGCACCAUUUGGUUAUAAUUGUUUGAUUGAAUUAAUUUCAAUUGACCAAACUAGAAAGUUGGAAAAUUUUAGCCCCUUCUGGGCAGCUCGUUUGGUCACGACAGCCCUUGGAAGUCGUUGUCCAACUCCUUCACCAGGGAUCGAGUCCUAGGGUUACCGUGUUCGGGGGGAAAGGACCUCUCCUCCCGGGUCGAAAUGGGAUUAGUCGGGCCCGUAAGAAUUGACCCGGAGAGCCACUCCGAAAAAAAAAAAAAAAAAGUUGGGAAAUUUUAGCGGUUGAUUUCCUUUAGAGACCGCACUUAAGUGGAGUACAUGUGUUGCGACUAUCCAGGUAACAGUAACACAUGCAAUUCACGUAUCAUUCUUUUAACUUUUUUCUUUUUUACUAAAGGUAAAAGUCUAGCAUGCAAUAUUCCAUCAAUAUUUAGAGCUGUCAAUCUCGCCAUUUAAUUCAGACUUUAAUAAGCUCUAACUCGACUCAUGUAACUAGUACUCACUCCCUUUUUUUAUAACUGAAGUUUAAGGUUUUGCACACCAAUUAAGAAAAGUUUUUCAUUGCUUAAAUCUGUACACUACUUUUCUUUUAUACCCUCAUUAAUUGUCCAAUUCACCCAUAUUUUCUCUCACUAGAGUACUAAAUGGUGUUGUUUUACUAGGCCAAAAGCAAUGCAAACUAACUCCCACCAAACUAAAUGUUUCUAAAAUGAAACUAAAUGUUUCUAAAAUGAAAAACUUUCCCACCAAAAAUUUUCACCUAAAUUUUUAACCUGAAAUUUUAAACAUUUUUAACUCCCACCAAAUAUUUUGAGAGGCUAUAAGGACUUCACUAUAUAAACUAGUCUCAAGAGAAAUACAUUAUUUGUAUUCUUUUAGACAUGGCUUCAAAACAUAAACAGCCUCUUCUUGAAAUAGAUUUAAAUAUUGAAUUCACACAAGCACAUGUUGAAGAUGGAAGUACUCUAGGAGUAAUAAUUACUAGGAGUAGUAAUUAAGAACCCUGUGUUGGAAAAGAGAGAUAAAAGGGUAAAAUUGUGAAAAAAUAAUUAAUACUGUAUGGGGAUAAUAAAACGACAGAUAAAAGUAUACUAGAGCAAAUUUCUUAAACGUCAGUUAUAAAAAAAGGGAGGGAGUAAGAUAUUUGGGUUUCGAGUACGUGCAGCAGUUCACGUAUCAUUCUUUUAAUCUUUUUCUUUUAAUUAAAGGUAAAAAAUCUGGCAUGUAAUAUUUCAUCAAUAUUAGGGCUGUCAAUUGGGUCACUUAAUUCAAGCUUGAAUAAGCUCUGACUCAGCUCACCUAUCCAGUAAGAUAUUUGGGUUUUGAAUCAUGAGUUUCAGAUUCAUAUACAUGACGCUUAUAGUUGACUCAUAAUAUAUUCGGGUUUUGGGUUUAAUUCGGGUUUAAUCCAAACUUACUUAUUACUCCUUAAUUUCCUUAAUAUAAUUACUUUAACCAUUUAAUAAUAAAGUUAAUUUGAAAUCUACAACAUUAAAGCUACACGUAAACUAGUAAAUAGUUCAUCAAAAAUACAUAAACCAAAAAUUUUCCAACAAUAAUUGUAUCUAAUUCUUUUAAAAUAGAUGAAAAAUAAUAAUAAUUAAGGAAUAAAUUGCUAUCACUACUUAUUAAGAGAAACCAAUAGAAAUUUUACCUAGGAUUCUCAAUCCCAAGUUGAGUUAGACUCUGAUUGUUUCUAACAAGUACAAAGAGGGAGCUGGGUUCUGAUUAGUAGUAUCCUUCGAAAAUUCUGUGAAACUAAUUCUUUGCCUUGAUUUCUAGCUUGAUUGUGAUUCUUAUACUGGGUAAGGGAUAUCUAGAGGAAUCAAUCAAAAUUAAUUGAAGUUCAGGUGGCCAAUCGUGGAGGUGGAGAUCAAUCAAAAUUAUUUAGUGAAUCUAAUUGUCUUUCUACUAAUUACUAUUAGUUUAAUUAUACAUUACAUAUUUAAAAAAAUAAUACAUUUAUAGUUAUAUAUAUUAGGGUGCACCCUUUUCUUUCAGGCUGAAUGGAUCGAAUUCGGACUUCUUUGACCCUAUGAAAUAAUAUAUUAUUCUCUACGCCCGUGAUGCACAAAGCAGCCACUUUUUUAUCCCACUUCAAGUGAUCGGUGUUUUUCCAUUUCAUCUCCCUCUUUCUCACUAAACUUCCCUUUUGUCAUAUCUUCCUCAUCACACAAAUCAACUUAUAAGGGAAGCCCAUAUAAAUAAUUAAUUGUCAGCCAAAAGCAAAAUGACAACAUAUUAGAUAUUGUACUUUUUUGGCCAAUUUAGUUAGAGCAUUUAGUAUGAACUGCAAAAAAGAAGAAAAAAAAAGAAGAAGAAGAAGAAGAAAGUUUUAUAUAUCAUAUUCAAUAGUUGGUAAAAAUAGUCCUCAUAGCUCACAAAGAUAUUUACUUUCAUCUUUCAAAAUUCAGUUAAAAAUACCACAAGAACAAUUUUAAAUUAAAUCAAAAACUACAAACAUUUUAUAAGUAAGGACAUCAAUCAACUAUUGUACUUUUUCAAGGUGAACAAUUUUGCAUUGACUGUUGACAAAGAUGGAAAUCCAAGAUCGGAAGCAUGAGCCCCCUGGGCAGAUCGACUGGUUUCGUAGUCCCCUCUUUAGGGACAGGUCACUGGUUCGAUCCCCGGCAGAGCUAACGCACUGUGAACCUUAGGGCGGGGCUCUCACAGCCGCAGAGGAUUAGUCGGGUCCAAUGGUUCCGGACAUCCCUGUGUCGACAAAAAAAAAAAAAAAAAAAGACUGGAAGCAUGGUUUCUUUGGUUACUAUAGUUGAGUCAUAGGACUAUUCCCAUUGCUAUAAAAUUUAAAUUUAUUUUGGCUUUUUCCCUCGCUGAGCCAACUUGAAUUGAAUCACAAUUGAAAUUAAGGUGUUUGGUUCACCUUCUGGAAUCGGAAUCAUAAGCAGCACUAUAUGUGUGGAGUUUUGUCAUUCCCUCUUAUCUGUCUUCGGUAUGGAAUUGGAAUGAAUUUCUAAUAGCUAUGUCAUAAGUGAGAAUCGUAGGAGAUGAAAUCCAACACUUCCAUGUACAUUAGGUGAUUUCUAUACUAGUUUACCAAAUAAUAGAUUUUGGCAAAAUUAACUUUGAUACCCCUUCAUGAAUCAUGAUCUUUGUACCCUCCUAAAUCUUACAAAUUGAAUUUCAUUUCCACAACAAAUAUACUAGCUUUUCGUCCCUUUUUGUCCCAAUCCAAUUAAAUUGCUAUUUUUAACAGUUUUUAUAGAAAAAAUGUACUAUAACAAUUUAGUGCAUAAGGAGUAAAAAUGUGAUUAGAAAAUGUGCUACAAAAAUUUUUUUUGUUGCCUUGGAAGGGCAAAUCCUCCAAUUAUUGACCAACCGUGAUCUUACAAUGAGCAAAAGUUCAUACACACUAAAUUCGUACCAACCGGAUUGAAAGCCCAAGUCGGUUAAAUGGAAGAGAACAUCAGGACAAAUUGAAUUCUACAGUAUAAACCCUGAGUCCUCAGUAAUAGUUUAGAAACUAGUCCGUUCCAUAUUAACAUGCCGAGAACAAGACUGCAAGCAGCAGAAGCCAGGAGAAGAAAAUCUCUUCCUAGAAAAAGGAAAUAAUGUUGGAAACAAAAGCAACAAUCCUAUCAUUUCAUCGUUAACUACCAUCACAUGAAUACCCCCUUGAAAAAUCACCCAAUUCUCCAACUCUUGUAUAGAUGCAAAACCUUAAAUUCGUUGGGGCAAAUUCAUGCCCAGAUGAUCACAACAGGCCUCAUCCUCCACACCUACCCUUUAAGCCGCAUCAUCCUUGUUUCCUCCUCCAUCGCCACCAACAUAUCUUAUGCAGAAACCAUCUUCAACCAAGUCAAAAACCCAACAAUUUUCCUGUACAACAUCCUCAUUUCAUGCUAUACCACGAAAGGCAAAAACCAUGAUGCAUUAUCACUGUACAACCGAAUUUUUAGUAAUAAUAUGACUAGCUCUGCAAAACCCAAUAAUUAUACAUACCCAUCUCUUUUUAAGGCCUGUGGAGCUCAACUAUGGUUCCAACAUGGAAAAGCCUUGCAUGCCCACGUCCUAAAAUUUCUUGAACCUCCCUAUGAUCAAUUUGUUCAAGCCUCGUUGCUUAAUUUUUAUUCAAGCUGUGGGAAAAUUGGUGUUGCCAGAUAUCUUUUUUAUCAGAUUAGUCAGCCUGAUUUGGCUGUGUGGAACUCUAUACUCUCAGCUUAUGCAACUAAUUGUAGUGUAAAUUUUGAUGCCAAUGCGGAUAGUUUUUGUGAUAGCACGGGUCUCUGGCUAGAAGUAUUGCAUUUGUUCAGUGAAAUGCAGAAGUGUUCAAUUCAACCUAAUGAAGUGACCCUUGUGGCUUUGAUUAGUGCUUGUGCUGAUUUAGGCGCACUUAGUCAAGGAAUGUGGGCUCAUGGUUAUGUAGUUAGAAAGAAACUUGGGCUUAAUAUUUAUCUUGGCUCUGCAUUGAUCAAUAUGUAUUCAAAUUGUGGGUGUCUCAAGUUGGCUUACCAGUUGUUUGAUGAAUUGCCCGCGAGGGACACGUUUUGUUAUAAUGCUAUGAUUAGAGGGCUUGCAGUUCAUGGUCAUGGUCGAGAGGCGCUCGAAUUGUUUGAGAAGAUGGCCCUGGAGGGGUUAGUUCCGGAUGAUGUCACACUUUUGGUUGUAAUGUUUGCUUGCUCACAUUUGGGAUUGGUGGAUCAGGGGUGCAAAUACUUUUACGCAAUGCACAGAGAUUAUGGGAUUGCCCCUAAGCUCGAACAUUAUGGUUGCCUAGUGGAUAUCUUGGGCCGAGCAGGUCGUGUUGAGGAGGCCGAGGAAACGAUUCAUGCCAUGCCCUUGAAGCCUACUGCUGUCUUAUGGAGGUCUUUACUCGGGGCAGCUAGAGUUCACGGGAACAUACAGGUGGGGAAAGUUGCCUUGAAGCAUUUGAUACAACUGGAGCCCGAAACUAGCGGGAAUUAUGUUCUCCUUUCAAACAUUUAUGCCAGCAUGAAUAGAUGGGAUGAUGUGAAGAAUGUCAGGAAGUUGAUGAAAGAGUUUGGGAUAAAUAAAAUGCCAGGAACCAGUAUCCUUGAGAUUGAUGGAGAAAUGCACGAGUUUUCUAGUGGUGACAAAACACAUCCAAAAGCGAAAGAGAUAUAUUUGAAGCUAGACGAUAUGAAUGGUAGGCUAAAGGAGCAUGGUUAUAAGCCAAGAACCAGAGAAGUGUUGUUUGACAUUGAAGAGGAAGAGAAGGAAGAUCAUCUUUCAUAUCAUAGUGAAAGGUUAGCUAUUGCUUUUGCUCUUAUGGAAUGUCGUUCUGAUUCACCUAUUAGAAUUAUAAAGAAUCUUCGAGUAUGUGGUGAUUGUCAUGAUAUUACAAAACUUAUUUCAAGGAUAUAUGGAAGAGAGCUUAUAGUAAGGGACAGAAGUAGAUUUCACCAUUUCAGGGAAGGGACCUGUUCAUGUUUGGACUAUUGGUAACUUGAUCUCUCGAUGGUAAAAUCACACUCUCUAUGAAUCCUUUAUUUCAGUGGCAGGAAUUAUCCCAAGAAUCAUCAUAAUCACGCCUGUCUCUCUCUUUGACGAGCACGCAUAAUGAUCUUGACAACCGUUCAAGAGAUUUUCCAAUAUCAAGGCAUGAUUCAAUGCACUUUUCAGAUUUCGAAGCCAAAGUCCCAAGCAGUUGAUUACGAAGAAUAUGAGCCAUCUCUAGCAUUUCAACCAUAAUGCCUCCUUUGAAACCAUUUUCAUGACACCGUCUCAGUCCUCUGCACACAUGGACAAGUAAUAAAGCAUUUCAAACUGGGUUAUGUGGAAGAUGUGCUUGCAAUCCGUGGGCAUGAGGUGGUUUGUGAGACGGCGAGAUCUCAAGUAGUUGAGGUGAUUAUGAGGUGAAGCAGAGGGCUGCUUUCAAGAUUAAGGCGUCGAAGAUGGAAAGAUCAAAAUGUAAAAAAUGAUCAAAUCAAGAUCAAAUGGUGUGACAGAAAAUUUACAAACAAAACGUGUUUAUAAGAAUGCCAAUCGAAGACAGGUUGAAGAAGCUGAAGCAUCCAGGGCACCCAAUCAACGAUGCUUAGUUCAGCUCUACUAGUAUGUACCGGGCAGCUCAAAGAGAGAUUGUAUCAAAGAAGGUUCGUUCAAGCGGAGGCCAGCGGUGGGAAUUCCAACUUCCUUCUCUCAGUUGAAAUCAAACGUAAUAAGAAAGAUAAUGGGCGACCAAGGGGAUGAGCAAGCAUAAGGAAGUAGCAUAUCUAUUUGCUUUUCUGGGCUUUACUUGAGCAGUAUGACGCUAUACUAGUAACCCGGUCAAGAGCAACCGGUUCAGCUUUUGAAAUUAGAGCUAUACAAACAAGGGCAAAAGGGUCUACAUUCAACUCAGUGAUCGUCAAGCCUUGAUAAACCAAGGCAAAUAUGCUCAAGUUUGCAAAAGUAAAGAAAAAACAUCUUCGUCUAGAUCACAAGGUGAGACUGUAUUACUAAAACUACAUUAACUGGAAACUCCCAAACAAUCACACUACUUGGCAAGCAUCAUCCUCACAAAUUCCUCAUAGUUAACCUGACCAUCACCAUCCACAUCCGCUUCCCUGAUCAUCUCAUCAACUUCUUCAUCAGUCAACUUCUCCCCAAGGUUUGUCAUCACAUGACGAAGCUGAAAAUAUUUCCAUACAAAUGAGUAUCAACAUGAUGAGAAAUGAAAUCUUCCAUUGUGAAAUACCAUUAAUGAACAGCAGACACAAGAAAACAAUGCCCAAAACAAUUCAACAACACUAUAAAACUGUUGAUACCUCAGCAGCCGAGAUGAAGCCAUUUUGAUCCUUAUCAAAAACCUUGAAAGCUUCCUUGAGUUCCUCCUCAGAAUCAGUAUCCUUCAUAGACAAAAAUCGUAAUUAAAGGUGUGUUAAGUACAGAUUGCUGCAUCUCCAUUAAAGCAGGAGAAGUUAAUGGUAUCUCAUGAAAGGAAAGGGAUAUAAUUCAGGAGUCUAUGGCCACAAGAAUUUGUCACAAAAAAGGGGAGAAAAAAAAAAACAAAGAGCUCAGCCCCCUCCAGCACUUUUGCACCAGUAUAAUGCAAUGCUUGCACUAAAAUAGGAAUGAUUAAUUCAUCACUUAAAAAUCCUCAAGAAAUGCAUUAUGAGCAAGGGUUAGCUCCCUGAUCAACCUAGCUUAUGAUAGAAGCAACUAUAUCAUUCCUGAUGUAAAAAAGUAGGAAGAAUGCUUAAAUAAUUGAUGAAGACAGCGUAAGCCUAUAAGAAAUGGAUUGAUACAACCAAGCUCUCAAUAAAAAUGAUAAGCUACCUCAGUUUAAUGAAACCAAGACAAUAACACACUUAGAAACAGACCCAGCACGCGAAAUUGUCUAGCAUUCCCUAAACCAUUAGGAUUGCAACACAUAUACCAGAUAUUAGACUAUGCUUACUUUCAUUUUACGCGCCAUGAGAUUCAAGAACUCAGGGAAAUCAAUGGUUCCAUUUUGAUCAGCAUCAACCUCAUUGAUCAUAUCCUGCAGCUCAGCUUCAGUGGGAUUCUGCCCCAGUGACCUCAUUACAGUUCCCAAUUCCUUUGUAGUGAUGCAGCCUUCAUUGACAAGAAUUGGAGGUUUUCAUUAGAUCUAAAAGCCAAAUUAAGCGUAAUACUCUCUGACCUUCUCAUGUAUAUAACCAACACGUUCUCCGACAACAAAAUAAAAGAAAUCCACUAUGUAAUUGAAAAUCAUCAAAAUCCACCAAAAAAAAGAGAAAGAAAAUGAAAGUCUAACAGACAACAGGUUGCGAAAGGAUGCACCGCACAUAACUAACACGAACAAUUUUACUUUGAUUCCCAAAAACCUCGGGAAAAAAAAGCAUCAUUUUCCAUCCAUUUCUAACAAUCGUUGACAGGAAAAAAAAUUCAAAACCAGAGAUAGCCACUAAAAGACACCCAAAGGGGACAAAGGAAAAGCCAAGGCCAAAGCAAAGAUCCAGUAACGUAAUUAACCAGCCAACACCCAAUUUUCACGGACCAUGUUCCACACAUUUUGCCACUUAAGUCACAGUACAAUUCAUUUCUCCUACAUAGAUUUUUCACAUAAUAAACAUCGGGUAAAUAGAUAAUUAAAAAAAAUGCUGGAUAGUGAAAAAGAUAUAUCACUUCUAUUUUCACACGGGCCAAAAAGUUUAAAGAAUGAACAUAACUAAAAUACAAAUUCCACCAAACUUUUCAAUUAAACUACUCUUUUUUCCCUCCGAUCAACCAAUCGCGACAAGUUAAAAACAUUAGUAAAUGUCAUUUCCGUCAUAUUUCAAUAUAAUCACCGAUAAAAAAAAUUCCAUAACCUAAAAGCUCAGAGCAAACAAAAAGGCAAAUCACAGAUCCGCUCUCACCAAAUAAACGUCAAAACAACCAAUAUUCACAAAAAUAACCACGCUAAAAAAUAGAAAAAAAUAAAAAACCUCGAAAAAAAAGAGGAAAAAGAAUCAGAAGACGAAGGAGAGAAUAAAUAAUACCAUCGCCAUCCUUAUCAAAGAGGCUGAAAGCUUCCUUGAACUCGGCGAUCUGUUCCUCCGUCAACUGCUCUGCCAUUUUCGCAAAUUAUUUUUCUUCUCUUUUUCUGUAAAAUUGAAAAAACAGAAACCCUAAAGAAAAAGAAAACGAAGAAGAGAGGAAAAAAGACUUUGUUGACAGUAGUCUAGUGUUCUUCUUUCUUGUGCCGUUGAUAUAGGGGUUUGGGGUGCAGUAAAUUUUCGACGUGUUUUGUGGGGUCCACGAUUAUUAUUGACCGAGUAAAAAUAUAUUUUUAGAUAUAAUAUUAUUCCAGCUGUUACUACAGUUUACGGUUUUGGUUUUUUAGACCUUUAAAAUUUUUUUUUUUAUUAGAUAUUUAGAUUGGAUCUCGUCGGGGUUCAAGGCUGGAACCUCGUAGAUAUGAUCAUCAUGGGACCCAUAUUAUGGAAAGUCCAGUCAGCAACAUCCCGAAUUUUUUUGUCGGUAGUAAGAAAAUUAUUUUUCUAAUCGGUAUAUUUUACUAUUAAGAAAAGUUUUUCAAAGGAGCAUGUCGGUCUAAAAUUGAAUGGAUUAUAUGAGAAAUGUACAAAAUUCUGGACCAUAUUAGCAAUUAAUCAAAUUAUUCUAUAUUCAAAUUGAGUUAGAUUUCAUAAGAGCUGUCGAGUUUUGUUCAAAAAAUAAUCAAAUCAAACAUGAAAAUCUUAUGACCAAUAAAAUUUUAGACGGGGCUUAGUUUUGAUUCAUUAAGUAUAAAAAAUUUUGGAGUAAAGAUUGGGUUGAGUGAUAAAUUAGAAAGAUUAUAAGUAAGAGCUCAGAUAACCUCUCACAUAUCAAAAAAAGAAAAAUAAGUAUAGAAAUUCAAACAAGUUGAGCUUGACUCAAUAAAAACUCAUUUUAGUUCAGCCCAAUAAAUAAGUGAAUUAAGAUUUGACAUGAUUACAAAUUUAUUUUUUUAAAAGCAUAUGAUUACAAAUUUAUUAAAACGAACAAAUAAGAGUAUUCGAUUCGGUUAAACUUGCUUAUACAACUGCUAUUGACCACUGAGUUUCCUUUUGUAUUUUCCUUGCAAUGAAGGUUUUGUUCACAUAUAACAUGAGUUUGACUUCGGAUUCUUUUGUCGUGAGAUUCUCCACUACCCAUUAAGUGCAACCGUAUGAUACACGAUCAUAUUGUUCGAGUACAACAACGUCAAACAUUUGAACAAGACGUGUAUAUUUAUUAAUGUCAAGGAACUCAAUUGUAUUUAAAUUCCAGCGUUAUCCGCUCUGUUUGGAUGCGAGUGUUUUUCAAAAACUUGUUUUUCAAAUGCAAUAAAAAUUUUUAAAAAGUACUCUAAAAGAUAAUUUAAAAAUUAGUUUAAAUUUUUUAAAAUUUUAAAAAAUAUCUCAAAAUAUAUUUUAGAAACUCUUCUACUCUUAAAUAUCCCAAAAUAUUUUCUGAAAAUUUUCCAAAAUAUAAUCUAAAAACUCUGCUACAACAAAAUUUUUUAAAAACAUCUCAAAAAACAGCUAAUCCAAAUUGGAUUUUUAUUCAAGUUUAUCUAGUACUAAUUUUUCACCAACUUUACCUACAGUACUUCUAAAAAAUUUCUUAAAAUUUUUCAUCAACACACUUCAAAAUAUCCAAAACACACAAAAAAAAAUUCGCUUCCGCUUCCUCUUGUAAUAGUACCAAGUUGAGCUAAGGAGAAUGAAUCGAAAUAAGUAAGCUGAAUUUGCUAAUGUAAACUUAACAGUGAUUUCAAUGGCAGCAGAAUUAAUAAGAAUUCAAUAAAAAUUAAUACAAACUUGUAUAUUAAUAUUAAUUGAUAAGUUACUGGAAUAAGUGGGAAAAGGCAAGGAGAUGAUUAAGAAGGGAGGAAACUUGGGGAAGAAGAAGAUUUGGAAUGACCAAAUAUGACCAAUUAACAAAACAAUCGCUGCCCUAUUACAAAAGCAAAUCUCUUUAUAUAAAGCUGUUAAGCCAGUGACUAACUUCUAAAAGCUACAAUCACAUUAAGACACGUGUCCUCCAUUGCAUUCAAACUGUUGCACGAUCACAACUGUUGCCUUCACGUUGAUGAACUGAAUUUCCCAGAAAAGACGUGAUUCCAAAAUCAUGUUUUUGUCUCUCCUUCUUCCUUUCUGAUCACGCCUUCUACUUCUAGGUUCACGCCUUCCGUUCCUUUGCUUCUCAGUUCAAUUCCGCUUCAUGACAAUAGCUCCCCCUUCCAAAUAAUCUUGCCCUCAAGAUUGAAAUUCAGGGAAUUUUCGUUCAAUAUCCUUUGCAUCUUCCCACGUAGCUUCUGCAGGAGAAGCUCCCCACAAUUGCACGAGCCACUGCACUGCUGCUGCAUUCUUCCUCUUAACAAUUCUUCUAUCUAGCACAGCUAGUAGCUCUAUCCUCAAGUGCCCCUUCUCGUUAGUGCUUGGCAGUCGAAGUAUUGGAACUACCUUCUGUCCCACCUUCUUCUUUAAUAGGGAAAGCAUGAAAGACUGGGCGUAUCCUUGAUUGUGCUGGUAACUGGAGUUUGUAGGCCAUCUUUCCUAUCCUCUGUAUUAUCUGAUAAGGUCCAAAGUACUUGGCUGCUAACUUAGAGUUGCCCCUCAUUUUCACUGAGUUUUGUCUGUAAGGUUGUAGCCUAAGGUAUACCCAAUCAUCAACCUCAAAUUCCCUCUCAGAUCUUCUUCUGUCUGCAUACACUUUCAUUCUGUUUCUUGCUUCCUCCAGAUUCUUCUUGAGCAGCUCAUCUAUCCUCUGCCUAUCCUUCAAAUGAUCUGCAACAGUGGCUACCUUAGAAUAUGAGUAUAAACCUAAGGCCAACUGGGGGGAGGGGUUUUAUUCCAUACAGAGCUUCAAAGAGGCUUAUCUGUAUGGCAGUAUGAUAAGUGGUGUUAUACCACCACUCUGCCAGAGAUAGCCAUGCAUUCCACCUCUUUGGUUCCAAAUGAGUCAUGCACCUUAGAUAUAUUUUCAACACUUGAUUCACCCUUUGAGAUUGUCCAUCAGUCUAAGGGUGGUAUGCAGUGCUUAGACAUAGUUCAGUUCCUAACAGUGUGAAUAGUUCUAUCCAAAAUUGGCUAGUGAAAAUCUUGUCCCUAUCAGAUAGCAUGCUUAAUGGCAUACCAUGCAGCUUGCAGACCUAAUCUAGGAAGACCCUGGCUACUAUUGGGGCAUCAAAAGGAUCUGUUAGGCUAGUAAAAUAAGUAUAUUUUGUGAACCUGUCCACCGUUACCAUGAUAGCGUCUCCUUUUUCUGAAAUAAGAAGCUCUUCAAUAAAGUCCAUAGUGACAUAACUCCAUGAGUACUGAGGUAUGGGUAAGGGUUGCAGGAGAGUAGGAUAAGCAGUAUGCUAAUCCUUGCACUUCCUACAAGUAUCACACUGUAACACUGUACCCUUGAUCUCCUUGUACAUUCCUGGCUAGUGAAAUAGCUGUUUGGCUCUCAGGUAACUGGCUUGUACCCCAGAAUGUCCUCCUAGCUGGAAAUUAUGGAUGGCAGUAAUGAUUUUCCUCCUAAUUCCUUCUUCCUUCCCCACUACCACUCUUCCUUUAUAUCUGACUAUUACAUCCUGGUAAGAGUAGUCCAGUAGGGAACCAGGUGUGAGUACCAGUUCCUUGAUCAUCUCCUGUAUCUUUUCAUCUCCUUGGUAACUUUCCAUCACCUCCCUUACCCAUUCAGGGAUAACACUGGUCAUCUCUGCAUACUCCCCCUCUUUCUUGCUGGUUCUCAUGGAUAGUGCAUCUGCAACAACAUUUUCCCUUCCUUUUUUAUACUGAAUUUCAUAACUUAACCCCAACAACUUAGUGAGCCAUUUCUGUUGGAGUGGAGUGGUAACUCUCUGCUCUAACAAGUACUUGAGGCUCUGGUGAUCUAUUCUGAUAAUGAAAUGGUGACCCUCCAAGUAAUGCCUCCACUUGGUGACUGCAGUAACUAGUGUCAGCAACUUUUUUUCAUAAAUGGAUAGUCCUAGAUUCUUUUCCCUCAAACUCUGACUUAAGUAUGUUAUAGGUCUCCUUUCCUACAUAAGUUCAGCUCUUAUCCCUCCAUAGCAAGCAUCAGAUUCUAUAAUGAAAGGUUUAUCAAAAUCUGGCAAGACGGGUAUAGGUAUGCUGCACAUAGCCAUCUUUAGCCUCUGAAAUGCCUUCUCAGCCUCGUCACUCCAAUAGAAUCCUCCUUUCUUCAGUAGUGAUGUAAGGGGUUUGGCAAUGGAUCCAUAUCCCUUCACAAAUUUUCUAUAAUAUCCAAUCAAUCUCAGAAAUUCCUUCAGUUUCACAUUUUCAGGUUUUGGCCAGUUCAUCAUACUUUCAAUUUUCUUAGGGUCUGCAUGGACUCCCUCAUCAGUGAUUAUGUGGCCUAGGUAUUCAGUCUGAGUUUGUGCAAAACAACAAUUACUCUUCUUAGCAUAUAAUUGGUGUUGCCUUAGUAGGUCCAGCACUUCUGUUACAUGUUGGAGAUGAUCCCCUAUUGUAGGGCUAUAAAUCAGAAUGUCAUCAAAGAACACUAUGACAUACUUCCUCAACUGCUCCUUGAAAACCUGGUUCAUUAAGCUCUGAAAUGUAGCAGGAGAAUUAAUCAGUCCGAAUAGCAUAACCUUGAAUUUAUAUAGUCCCUGGUGAGUCCUGAAUGCAGUCUUAUAUAUGUCUUCCACUUUGACUCUAAUAUGCUGAUAACCUGCCGUUGGGUCAAUCUUAGUAAAGUACUUAGAUCCAUGUAACUCAUCAAUUAGUUUAUCAAUCAGAAGCAUUGGAAACUUAUCCUUCACUAUGAGUUCAUUAAGCUGUCUGUAGUCUACAUAGAACCUCCAACUUCCAUCAUUCUUUUUUACCAGCAGCACAGGAGAAGCAAAUGAGCUGUUGCUAGGUUGAAUAAUCCCAUCUAUAACAUCUCUCUUACCAGUCUCUCUAUCUCAGAUUUUUGUACAUAAGGACAUUUGUAAGGUCUGAUCUGGAAAGGUUUCGCUCCUUCCUUCAAGGGAAUUCCAUGGUCAUGACUCCUAAGAGGGGCAACCCCUGUGGUUCAGCAAAUACAUCCCUGAACUGAUUUUAAAUCUCUUCCAAGUCUGUUGGGAUCUCUUCCUGUCCUACCUGGUCUUCCUCUACCAUGGUUAGGUAGGCAAUAACUCCAUACAUCUGUUUCCUCUUCCACUACGCUAAUUUGCUUCCUUUGAUAGCUGUAAGCUUCAGGUUCCCCAGAUUCUCCUUUUAAUUCCACCAUUUCCUUUCCUUUGCGAAACUUCAUGCUCAGUUUAUUAAAAUCAAAUUCAAUAGGGCUGUAUCUGGCUAGCCAAUCAACCCCCAACACCAUAUCACAGCUUCCUAACUUCAGAGUGUUGAGGUUAUGUUGGAACUCAUACCCAUGUACCUUCCAUUCCAAGGGCUUGCUGAGCUGCCUGAACUCUAGUCUUUCCCCAUUAGCUACUUUAACUAUCAGUGGAGCUCCUGAUACCUGUAACUGUAAGUAUGUAACCAGUCUUUCAUCCAAGAAAUAAUGUGUGCUAUCACUGUCCACUAAUAUUAGAACCUCUUUGCCUUCAAGUGAUCCUUUAAGCUUGAAUGUUCUGUGUCUACUUCCUCCAGCCAGGACGUGGAUUGAUAUCUCUAUUUUCUCAUUACUGAUCUCUCGUUCAAUGCAAUCACAGAAAUCUUCACCUUCAUCUCCUACUCCUUCAGUAACCUCAACUAAUUCAGUCUGCUCAUUCUCCAAGAUAUAUUGAAUUUGGCCUUGUUUGCAGACAUGGCAUAGGGUAUAUGGUUCUGCACACUUAUAACACAACCCCCUCUCUCUUAUGUAAUUAAAUUCUGAUGGGGUAAUCUUCCUGAAUUGAUCUGCUAUCAUACCUUCUAUCCUAUUCCCUUUGUUAUUAUUGUUUCCAGGGCUCGUAGGAUAUCAUUAGGCCAUUUGUAUCUCAUCUGUGUUGCAGGAUUCUGCCUAUUAGUCACCACUGGGUUUGAAUUAAGUGGAUAUUUCUGAGUCAUUACUCUUUGUGUCUUCCUUAUAGCUUUCAAGUUCUUUUCCUGUAGCAUAGCAGCUUCUAUGAUAUCCGCUAAGGUGUGAGGUCUAGCCAUUUUCACCAUACUUACAAUUUCACUCUUCAAGCCACUUAGAACACAUGAUUUGUAAUAUGAAUCAGGUUGACUAGGAAGUAAUGGCACUACCAGUGAUUUCAGCAAUUCGAAUUUCUCCAGUCAGUGAGCUAUAUUCCCAAUCGGUGUCAGUUUGUUGAACUCUUCUAUGGUCUCCUCCUAUGUCCCUCCUCCAAAUUUCUCACACACUGCCAUAGACAGUUCAUCCUAGGCAACCACAUCUCUCCCGUGAUACAUUCCAUGGAACCAUAUGUUUGCUUUGCCCCCAAAGUGCAGCUGAGCCAAGUCAGACUUCAGCUCUUCCUCCAUUCGUUGGAUCUGAAAAUAUUUGUUGGCCCUCCUGACCCACUCUCUGGGAUUAUCCCCAUCAAACAUAGGGAUUAUCCUCAUUUCCCUUCUAUCUUCUCAGAUUUCCUUUUAACCAAGUCCAACUUCUGAUUCCCUCCAGAGCUGCUUCCUUCUUCUACUCUCUCUUUGUCAUUCAACUUAGCCAUCAUCUGAGCCAUCAUGCUCAUCAUACUCUCAUACUUCUAAUCCAAGUUUUUAAUAGUUUUCUCAGUACUCUCCUGCCUGUGCUCCUUGGUUCUCAUAGCCUGUUCCAGUCCAUCAUUCUUAUUAGCAAAUGUUCUCAUGACACUCCCUAACUCAGUCAGAUCCUUCUUCAACAUUUCUUCCUAAGUCUUAGUCAUCCCGUUGGCUCGUAGCUAGCUCUGAUACCACUGUAAUGGUACCAAGCCGAGCUAAGGAGAAUGAAUCGAAAUAAGCAAGUUGAAUUUGCUGAUGUAAACUUAACAGUGAUUUCAAUGGCAGCAGAAUUAACAAGAAUUCAAUAAAAAUCAAUACGAACUUGUAUAUUGAUAUUAAUUGAGAAGUUACAGGAAUGGGCGGAAAAAGGCAAGGAGAUGAAUAAGUAGGGAGGAAACUUGGGGAAGAAGAGGAUUUGGAAUGAUUCCAAAUCUGACCAAUUGACAAAACAAUCACUGCCCUAUUACAAAAGCAAAUCUCUUUAUAUAAUGUUGUUAAGCCAGUAACUAACUUCUUAAAGCUACAAUCACAUUAAGACACGUGUCCUCUAUUGCAUCCAAGUUGUUGCACGACCAUAGCUGCUGCCUUCAAGUUGAUGAUCUGAAUUUUCCAGAAAAGACGUGCUUACAGAAUCACGUUUUCGUCUCUUGUUCUUCCUUUCUGAUCACGCCUUUUGCUUCUUGUUUCACGCCUUCCGUUCCUUUGCUUCUCAAUUCAAUUUCGCUUCCUGACACCCCUCUCCUCCCCUUCCCUUUCCCCCUUUCCCAUCCUGGCCACCUUCUCCUCCCUUUUGCCCGGUUUGGUCGAUUGACCAGAUCGCGCUGCAAUCAGGGGCAGGGAGAGGGUGGCGGGGGAGGACAGGGGGAGAGGGAGAGGGAGAGAGACAAAGAAAUUUUUUUUUGUAUCUACUGCUUCCGGUUGGGAGGGGUGGCUGGGGAAGGGGAAGGGAGAAGAAGAAGAGAGGAAAGAAAAGAAAAAUGAAAGAAAGGAAAAAAAAAGAUAAAGAGAAAGAAAGAUAAAGAGAAAAAGAAAAAGAAAAAAAAGUUUUUCAUCUUAAAUUUUUUUCCUUUAUAAAUUUUACAGUAAAAUUUUAGACAAAUACCUAAUAAAACUCAUUUGUCAAACGGAACCAUAGAAUCUUGGCAUCUUUGCGGAGUCUGGGAGUAUAGGAUAGAGAAGAAUAGAAGAGAAAAAUUAAAUAAUGAGAGAAAAGAAAAGAAAAAGAAAAGGAGAAAAUAGAGUUUAGGAUAGAGAAGAAGAUAAGAGAAAAAUUAAAACAUGAGAGAAAAGAAAAGAAGAAAAGAGAAAAGUUUGCACCACCAUGUGCAGGCAUGACAAAGAAACUCACAACCCAACAAUUCACCCAACCCCGUCCAUUAAUUUUAAAAGAUGGGUUGGGUCAGUUGGAUUAUGGAUUUUGUUGAGUUAGAUAAGAACAACCUAACUUAUUCAUUGCACGGAUUGAAUUUUUUAUUUGUAUACUCAAUACUCAACCUAUUUAAAAAUAGUUCAAAAUAAUAAAUAUAAGAUUUAAUACACAUAUACUCAACCACUUACAUUUGGACAUGUGUUAAUAAUUUAUUGAUCAAUUUGUUUUCAAAAUUCUCUCAUAUAUAUAUAUAUAUAUAUAUAUAUAUAUAUAUAUAUAUAUAUAUAUAUAUAUAUAUAUAUAUAUAUAUGUGUGUGUGUGUUUUCAAUCAAAUUUUUUAAUUUUUAUUAAAAAAAACUUGAAAUAAAAAUUUAUACUUAUUUUACUAUUACAACAGUAGUUAUACUUACUCAACUUCUAUAAUAAUUUAUUAUGCCUUUUUAAGAGUAUGUUGUUUUCUUCCCCAUUUUUUUCUUUUUUUGUUGUUGCUAUUUGAUAGCUACUUGUUUCUGUUUGUUAAUAUUUUCGUAUAUCUAGAAUAGAGUUUAAAUUUGAUCUAAUUGCAUUUUUUUUUAUUUUUCUCUAACUUGUUUUAUUUUAUUGUUAAUAAUUCCUCAUCAAUAUUAUAAUACAACAAAUUAUAUGCCUCUUAAUUACAUUUUCAAGUAUAAUAUAAUCUAGCAUUCAAUAAUUUAAAAAUAUUGAAUAUUAGAACUUACAAUAAAGCAGAUAUGAAUAGUAAAAGUGUUAGAUAAGUUGUUAUAAAAAUAAGUUUCAAUCAAUUAGUAGUAUUAAAAAGUAUAAAGUAAACAAAAUUUUUUAGCUAAUCUAUUUAAAUGUACAAUUUAUUAUUUAAAAUUCACAAUACAAGCAAUAUAGAUUAUUAUUCUAUUUAUGAUGUAUUUUUAACGAGUUGAAGCCAGUGUGUAUUUGUGUGUGUGAAAGUGUGUUAGUUUGUAAAAAUAUAUUUAUGCAUGUGAAAAUGUGUUUAUAUAUGUGUGAAUGUAUGUAAAAGAGUUUAUGUAUUAAUUAAUAUGUUUAGUUAUAUUUGAAUCAUGGGUGGGUUUGACAUGAUCCAAUAUAAAAUUGAACGAGUUGAAUACAAUUCAUUUAAGUGAAAACUCAAUAUUAACUCAUCCAAAACCUAUCCAAUUGCCAGGCAGCACAUUAGUUUGGUAGACUUCGUGCAGCGGCUGAGAUACAAUAAUUUGUCAUUUCAAAAAACAUAUUCAUAUUUAUUAUUAACCUCCACUGGAUUUAGGUUAUUAGUUGGGCUCAGACAAGCCAUAGUUUAUUUCGUCCUUUCAAUUAUUCAAAAGGAAGAAUAAAAGCAGAGAAGCAAACAUCAAAAAACAGCCAUACAAAUCGUCCCAUUUUUCCUAAUCUAUCAAAUUAUAUAAUAAUAAUGUGAUUGUCACAAUGAAAGUCACAAAAUGUGCUCUACACCUUAAUGUUGCAUUCUACAUCUCUGAUUUCUCAUCAUAUUACACGGUCGAGUAUUGCCUGUCACAGCUUUAUGCAUGUAUGGUACAGCAUAAGCGGAAGGUUAAUUUGUUAAGAGCAAUGUAAAGUUAUCUGACCAAAAUUUUGCUUGGUUACCAAAAACAAAGCCCAAAGCAAAAAAUGGUUAAUAGCUGGAAGGAGGCGAUUAUGACGCCUGGCUCUUGCUCUUUGCAGCUGCGGCAGCUGCAGCAUACCAAGAAGCUGCAGCCAUUGCACCUGGAUCCGGGACUGACGCAAGAUUAUCUGCAGAGACAUAAGUCGACCGACCAGCCUAAAAGAGAAAACAAUUGGAGGGUCAUACACUGAAACGACUAAAGGAUGCGGUUAGAAGGCAACUACAAGUAAAAGGUGCAUGAUACAGCAAGAAACAAAUGAAACAUUGUGGUGCAGCAAACCUAGAUGAGAUUGACAAAAAUGAAUGUGAAAAGGGAAGAAAGAACUUGGAAAUAUUUCUUCAUCUUUGUUAGUUGAACAACAAAUGUUGUUUACCUAGAUAGAUAAGUUCUUGAAUACGCCAUGAGAAAUUCAAGCAACUAACAACCUCGAUCAAACUGUAGUCUUUCGUUCCCAGUAGAAAGUACAUUUUGAAGUGCAAGUACCCAUAGGAUUUGCAAAUUUAGGAAAUUAAUAUUUUAUCUUUGCAAUUUCCGUUUUGGUUCACUUUGUAAUAGUCAAAAAUUCCGACCAAAGAAAUGUAAAUGCCAAAAGACUCCAGCAUGCUUGUUCCUUUAGCAGAGAAAUUAUACCAAACAAUCUGUGCAAAGUUGGCAACCUAAACAUUUUGAUUUACUCAGAUCCAAUUCUAUAUAAACUAAGAUACAAGAUAAAAGACCAACUCAACUUCUUUAUAUCUCGUAGUUUUCUAAUUGCUGUAGCUAUCGUGUAACAGACUAAAUGUCAGUAGAAAAUAAACUACACGUGCAUCAAACCAUAGAACACAACUCAUCCCAAAAACUCAUCUUAUAGGAGUAGAAAGAAUAUCACCUGAGCUUGCAUGUCCUUAGUUGAGACAGCUCCUGCAGUUGCUGCUUCAGCAGAAAGAACAAAUGCAUCCACCGGAUUGUCCCCGGCAGCUAACCUCUGUAAAUGAGACAAGUGUUUAUAGGCCAAAACUAAAAGAAAAGUAUAGCAACAGCAAAUAACAACCUCUUUAAGUACUGAUGAUGCUGGAAUAAGUGCAUCCAACAUUGUGCGAUAACCAGCAUUUGCUCCUCCAUACUUACUAACUGCAGCAAUAGCAGCUUCAAGAGCUCCAGCCCCUGAACCACAAAAAUCAUUAAGCAAAAUUUCUAAAGCAAACAAAUGAGAGUUCAGAGGUUACUGCAUCAGAGACAUCUCACAAUGCAUUGGCGUUAUAACCGACUUGCCCUUUGCUUUCAACUGUGCGUAAGCUGCCUUACAGAAUAUAUCAUAUCUGCCAAACAGAUUGGCAGACAACAUUAGCUCUGUAAUUUGAGUCCACUUAAACCAUUACUUGUGAACAAAAUUUACAAGAUAUUGAUUAACAAGAGGUUCUCGAAGAGAGGAAGUAUAACAUACAAGAUUCCACUUGUUCCUCCCAUCACUCUUCUGAUAGAAGAUCCAAUUUCAUUAACUGUUUCAGCAGGGUCAUUCAGCGGAUAACUGAAACAAAUAGCAAAUAAAUAAGUAAACAAAAACAACUGAGGAAUUUGACAAGGAAUUAUUCCAGUCAUACAAGAAAGAAGAAGAAGAGGGAACACCACUAAGAACAAUUUAAGGUGGUUUUCUGUUGUUACAAAGGGAGGGUGACAGGUCAGUCGUGUAUAACUUCCAUAAAACUAUGUGUUUACUGUAUGGUUUUCUUUUUCCUCUUCCAUUUACUUUAAGUAUGAUUAUCUUGUCACUGUGGAAGGGUAAUUCAGAAUGAAUUGUACAAUCUCCUAGUUGCAGAUUUCAAAACUAGAAUGUAGUUUGCAGUGCUGAAAGCCUAUGUUUAAGGAGAAGAACAGGGACACUGAAGAGCAGAUUAGCGUAGAAAACAGAGAUUAUUGAUUCAUCAUCCAGAAAAAAUAAUGCAACAUAAAGGAACAGCAAAACAGAAAGGGUCACUUGAGACACAAAGGAUGAAAACAAUUACCAGUUAAGCUUUAAUUUAGCAAAACCAGAAAUUAAUCAUAUUAAAAACCCAGCGAGGAACAGUUAAAAAACCACACGUGUCUAAGUUAGUCUAUUUUGCAGCUGUUGAUGAAUCAGAUGCAUUAGUCUUAUGGAAGCACCAAAUACAUUUUACUCAAUAAGAUCAAGACCUACAGAUAAUUUCUAAUUUCAGAAAAUAUUUUUGAGGUUUAAUGCCCAAAUAUGAGACCAUAUAGCGGGAAGAUAAACAAUUAAGAAAGAAGAGCAAGUGCAAGCACAAAAGCCAUCAAAACUGACAUCUUCUAUUCCCAUUUAUUGUACCACCUAAAUCACCAGUGGCCAAUGAAAGCAUGAGAUUUCUGACAUUCCCUGCAUCUUAAUUACAAUAUUUACCAAUCUACUUAUGAACCUAGAGUCCCAACCAUCUCCAGGGCAAACAUUUUCUGGGAGCAUGUACUCACAUUUAUAACAAGUAUAAAACACAGAGAGGGAGAACAGCUAUAGAAGACUCACUACUUCUUCAUGUCUUCCAUUAUCGCGGUUGCACCUCUGAACAUCUGAGGAUAUUCCAACAAGACCUCUUAGGCCAUUAAGUCAUUCAGAUAAGAAAAGAAAAGAUAGUUGAAAGGCACUUACUGUAGAACCACAGUCUCCAUCACCCACUUUGCUGUCCCAUUCGUUUAAGCUGUCACUUAGAUUGAUAACUGCUGUUGCCCCUGCUUCAAUAGCCACCUCAAGAAGAUAACCCUGGGAGCUUAGCUGUUCAGGCCGACUCAAUGUCUGAUGCAAGGACAAAGCAGAUAAAAAGCAUUAGGAUAAUACCAAACCAUUGUAAGGUUGCUUGUUCUAAACUUCUUAGAACUUCUGGUGUAUCAGGAAAGAAACAACACAGAAUGGAGGUUUUCCUGGUGAACAAUAUUGAAAGGUAGUAAAAUUCUGUACAUGCCAAAAAUUUCAACAAGCAGUGCCAGACAUUAAUUUACCAGAAGUAGAAAUCUCUUAGAAAUCUGAUCAGGAAACCUUCAUAUUUGAUAAACAAAUGGUAUUGUUUUUUUGCUGCUAAUGUAGUUCAUGCACCUUAUGCUUAGCGGGAGCAGGGCACCAUAGCUAGAAAGGGAGGUCGGCUAUUGCCAACUUGGCUAAGACUUAAAAAGGUUCUGUUUUGACAGAAGUUUCAUCAAAGGAUAGUAAAAUUCUUCCGUCUAACAAACUUUUGCAAUUAAAGUGGUCAAUCUAUCAAAAACUAUAUAAAAUCAGAACUCACAACAAAGACAUGCAAUAAAAUCAAGCGAAUUCAAUACCAAACAAAGCAAAUGCUCUAGAAGAACAUUUACUGACGUUACACUCUUUCGUGCUAGGUUGUUGAAGUAACCAUCAUACGUUUUCUACAUUCAGAAAUAGCAACCCAUAUAUAAGAACGAAAUUACCACUAUGCAGACAACAAGCACAAUAGCAGAAACUGGGGAACAAAAUAUUGGACAGACCUCAUCACUCUUUGUUGAAAGUGAUGGUGGAAGGGGAACAGGAAUCUUGGCAGGUGGACGAUUACCUGUAAACCACAUGAAUUUUUCCAGUGAAAUUGUUAACAGAUCGAUCCAAAGUAGUACCUAGCUCGUAAAUGUAGAUAUAUGAAUAGUUAAUUUAAUCAUUUAUAUAACAGACUCACAUCACUGAUUCAGUUUAAAGAUUUCUUAGAAGUAUAGUGUCAAGAAAUAAGUUCAUAUACUAACCAUCAGCACCAACGGGCCAACAUGGAGCCUUAGUUGGUGCAUCCAAGCGAUUCAAAAUUUCUUCAUUUGCUUUCAUCACAGUUAUUGAAAAUCCUGACAAAAGUUUACAGGUGAGAAAAGAUGCCAUAUCCAGUAAAUCAGAAAAUCUAUCAACAUAAACAAACCAGCCAUGUCAAGAGAAGUCAUAAAUGAGCCUGUGUACACCCUCUCAACAGCCAGUCCAUGUUCAAGCUGCAACCUAGGUACCGCUUUCCCAGUUGCAAUCAUCAAUUCCAUAACAGGAGUACCUCCCAAACUGCAAUUUAAAGAUAGAAAGUGAUCAAGAAACAACUACAUAUACAAGUUCAAGGGGGAAGGUGCAAUACACACAAUGUUGGUCAAAACAGAUUGACUAAUUACCAAUUGUCUGAAACUAUGCAAAUCAACUGCAUUUUGGAAAAGGACAAAAGAAAAUUUCAUGGUAACGACAUAUUUUCAUAAUAGUCUGGACAAUAGUCACUUCUCCCUCUUGGACUUGCAGUUUAGAGAACAAAACCUACAAUUGAUAAUUCACGUUGAUCAAGACAAAAGCAUUGAAGAUUUGGCAUCAGAUGCUUGAAUCACUCCAUCCAGAAACCAUAAUUAAGAAAAGAAUUGAAAUCGAAAGGGUAGAUUAGGAAAGAGAAGCUUCAAAUAAAGAAUCUAGGACUUGCUUUGGAACUAUCACAUAAAAGUAGUGCCUAUACAUCCUAAAACAAUUUCAUGACUUCAUUGGCUAGGACAUUCUAAAGCAUGACAUAUUGGUGCUUGACAAUUCUUCAAGUAAUUUUUGCCAUUAGAACGACAUAACAACAAUGAAGAGAAUCAUGUAGAGAAAUUUGCAAAGAUGCUGAUCCAUGUAGGAAGGGGAUUAUGUUUCUAAACUUCAAACACUUUAGUCUUCCAACAAGGCUUUCUAUUUCAUCUCUUCAUCUGAUCAAACGAACUUCCUAAAGAGUUGCACCUUUUAUAAAUUUUAGACAACAGACAUUUUCAUGCUUUUAGAACUCUUUUAUCACUUAAAAUAAGAUAAUGCACUUUAAGUUACAAAUCUAUCAAAUGAUAAGAAAGCCACAAUGAAGAUGAACAAAAAAGCAAACAAAUGAUGUAUGUGAUUGACAAGUUAAUUAUCAUAACCUUUUUUCAACUUGUUCUCAUGCUAGUUGAGCAUAGAUAAGCAGGAUAUCCCUAAUUUCCCAGGAAAAAAAAGGGAACACAGAAAUAUGUGUAAAAUUUUUCAAAGGGUGUCAAGAAUGAAAGGAUCUUACCCAUUAAUCAUCAGCACUACUCUACUUCCCCGUGUAAUAGGAACAUAGUUGGUCUCCUACAGUAAUAUUGGUAUGACAAUCAGAAAUAGUUUCAAAUAAAAGGAAUAGCAAAUAGAACAGCUACUGUCACUACAGAAUACAUACUUAAAUUGGCAUAACAAGGAAAGGCAAUUUCAUUUACACCAGGAAAACUCUUUAUAAUACAACAACUUGUUGAAUAACAAACAAGAUAAUUAUCUGGUUAGAAUUUUCCUAUUACCUAAAAGCAUUAGCUGAAUUGAUAGGACAAAGAUCAAAAUUUAAGGGAAAAAGUACAAAAGAAGUACAAAAAAAAAUUGUACAACUUAUCAAGGAAGAUGUCUUUACCAUUCAUAAUUCACAACAUAGAAUACCUUUGUUUAUUUAAAGAACCUUUAUGAAGUGCAUUUCUUCAAUUAUUCUUAAGUUUGGUAUUAGUGCUACAUCCCCGAAUAGAAAGAAAAAAAAUUUUGUUGAGUAAAUGAAUCAGUAAUGAGAAUAUUAGAAUUAUUCUCCCAUCCCCAACACUCUCUUUGAACUUUGUUCUUCCUCCAGUCCACUUCUUAGUGACAUAACAAUGUUUAUACCUCUUUUUUACCAAAAUCUGCUCCGUAUAAAGCAGUUAAAUGAAGCAAAAAUCUUUAAAGUAAGUCCUUUAUGUCGCAAACAUACUCUUCAAAAAUAACUUGUGCACCUUCUAGAUUAGGCAUAAAGCAUGCAAAACCUGCUUUAAAUUGGCAUUUAAAGAAAAUGCAAAAUGCAAAAUUACUAAUUAGAAAUCCAGUUGCACAACACCUAGAAGAAUUCAUGUCUUUUACUCUCAGCUCUAUGAUCAACAGCAGUAGUAAGUUCCACAAAUCUCCAUGACAGAUUCACAUAACAGGAAACCUAUAACAAUCAUUCACAUUAUUGUAGGCUUGUAGCCAAAAUCGGUAUAACAACAAUUUAAAGAAACAGAAUAUGUACCACAUUACAUAAACUUAAUAGACCCCUAAUUGCGGAACCUUUUCUGUUACCAUGGCAUGGCACGAAAGCUACAGCACUUAAAAAUCAAUAUCAUAGAUGUCACAUACCAGUGACAAUAUCUGCUUCAGAACAUGAGAGACUAUCACAUCCACAGGCUGAAGAUCAGCUACAGCAGCGCCUGGUUCUCCAUGCUGAAAAGUAUUUAUAAGUAAACUUUAACAACAUUAAACAAAGGGGAAUAGAGGUACACUUGGUUGCUUUAAAUUCCCCAUAAUGCAAUUGCAAUACUUUAUUUUGAAUUUGUCUAUUAAUCAUUUAGCAGAAUGAAAGUAUUCUUUAAUAACAAAUGAAAACUACAACAGCCAAACAUUUUCUAGAAAAUGUGUUGCAGAAUGGACAAAUUAAAACAAGCAAAUAGAACAAUUCAUUUCAAGUCAAAAUAAAUUGAUGGCGUAACCGUCCUAUACAUGAGUGGCUCUCUCUAGAGCUAUGAUGAGCGUAAAAUAUUAGCUUGUGCAUAUAAAGGCCAAACAAAAUAAGCUCAAAGCAUUCUGGUUAACUUUACAGCUCAAAGCAUCAGUUACCUGAAGAAAAUAACAUGCACACACACAUGUGCAUAUAUUUAUAUAUCCGCAAUUCAAGUUAGUAAAUUCAGGAAGUCUAAACCGUUCAUUUAAAAAAUAACCAUUUCCAUCAGAACGCUUGUUUUAUUUUCCUGAAAGGAAACAAUUUACAUUUCUCAAUUAGCUUUACAAGGUAAAUAGCCAAUCAAAUCUUAAAAAGCAAAUCAAACAUGCAUUCUUUACAAAGCCAAAUCCGAAGGCUCGACAUCUGACACCUCCCUCUGACCAUCUAAACCUAAACAGGAUUAUUUGGCGGGUCCCUAAAAUCCUGAGAUGUAAAACAUAUCCAUGAUGAUUCCAAAUUCCAAACGAGUGUUUUAAAGAUUUUCAUGGAAAAUCUUUAAAGAGAACAGAUAUGAAACCCCAAAUAUCACCUUGAAUUGAAAACUAGAUAUCUUGAUCAGUAAAUUGCAAUAUUCUAUAUCAUAAGAUGGAGAGAACAUACGACACCCAAAAGACAUACAAACAACAACCUAUUCAUUUAAAAGAUCAUACAUCAAUCAACAUAAAGCAAAGCAUUGAUAGUAGAAUAAACUUACGAUUCCAAGACCAAGCUCCAUUUUUCCAUGGCCUAAACGAUCCGAUGUUACUUGACCUGGCAACGUGCAAACAGACAACGCGACACCCAUUGUGCCAAUCAAUUCUGAUGCACGUUUUGCUUCAGCAGCAACAGCAGAAAGAGACAGGCCACAAGCUGCUGCAGCUCCAGCAACCUUCAUUAAGAAAUGAAGUGGACGCAAGAUUUACAGAUCAAAAAGGAAAAAUGAAAAAAAAAGGUACUUAGGAAACCAACUAUACUACUACACUCAACCUUGUGAACAAAAAUGGUCCCAGCCAAACCCCUUCGUCCGGCUAUUCCUCUAGGAGGAGGUAAAGCACAAUCAUCGCCAACAAUUACCAUCUGCAAACACACAAAGGAUUUGAACUUAAGGAUACUGUAACAACUUAAGUACCUACUUUUCAGUUUUCCAUAGAAAAAAAACACCUUUGAGUUGAAAUUUACAUAAUUAUGUACCUCUACUUUGUAGCCUUCAGAUUUUGCUUGCUCAGCUGCCAGGCCAAAGUUCAAUCUAUCACCAGUAUAAUUCUGUCAAGACAAAUAUUUUUUCAAUCAGGAAAUUACAGGAGAUUCACAGCUAGAAAAGUUCAGUAAAAUUCAAAUUAUCCAAAGUAUUCAGGACGCAUGAAGCUUAUUCUAGUCUUUGUCCAAAAACACUAUCAAUUGUCAACAUAACCACCUUAAAAAUCUAGUUAGCCUAAAGUCAACCAUGGCAGAAACCUUCCAAAAUUUAGAAUAACAAUACCUUAACAAUCAGGAGGCAUCCCAUUGGACCAGUCACUGCUCGAAUGCCCUAUAUAUGAGUAAAAUCAGGUAAUUAAAUAAUAAAAAAAAGAAGUAUAUCAAAUAUUACGUAAUAAAAGAGAUAUUCUCUAUUCCAUCUCAGCAAGAGCAUAUCAUACAGCUAAAAUGGAGUCAACAGGUGGGGAGGCAAAAACAUCCCCACAAAUUGCUGCGGUCAGCAUCCCUUCUCCCACAAAUCCUGCAUGAGCAGGCUCAUGUCCACUUCCACCUCCUGUAUAUCACAAAAUUCUCAAGAUUCAGAAGCCCAGUUUAAGUUGUACUAGAUUACAGCUGAUUUCUUAAUUUUUGUUGCAAAAGAGCUUUAUUUGUUGAGCAUAUCUUCCAAUCAACUAAGAUUUCCUAGGUGACUAACUAUUAUAAAAGGAGUAAUUGAAGUAAAAAGACCAACAAAGUAUUGAUUCUGUAAAUACUGGAAAAGAGAGUAUAAGCCAUUUCACUCUUCCUCGUCAAUCAAAAUCAGAUCAAGAGAGACAACUAAUUAUGCCUAUAUAUUGCCAAUUCACAAUUAGAGUGCUAUGCAUUGUCCAUAUGCUAGUAAUAAAAAGUUAAGGAUCAGCAAGAUUUUGCCGAAAACUAACACAUAGUCAAGUUGCUACCAACCUGAUAUCACUGCAACUUUGUCAUGUGUUGAACCUGAGAUGUCGGCUCUCAACACAACUUUAACCUGACAAUCAAAAGUUUAGUCUAGUAAAAUUCUUUGGGACGCGUGGCUAAGGAAGAAUAUUCGUUUCCAAACAGAUACACUAAAAGCAGAGGAAAACUAAGUAGUUCAAUGAGAAUGAAAAGCAUUACCUCAGGGAAACCAUCCAAAUACUGCAAACCCGGAUAUGUUUCCACCAAACCUUCAAUAAACUCAGUAACAACAUCUGUAAUAUCAAAACAAAAAAAGAAAGUGUCAUUAUUUAAUAUCAUUUCCAGGAUAUACCCACGAGAAAAAGAUUGCCUUUUUCCUUUUCAAAUAGACCUUUGUUUUCAAAUGUUCAGUUGACUGUUCAAUCAAGCCAAGCCAUCACGCUAAUAUGGAUUCAAGUAGUCAUUUCCCACAUUAAAGAAAGAAAUAACAAUAGCACCAAGUGUACAACGCUAAAAAGCGCAAGGUACGACGUUUUAAUGGAGUACCCUUCUGCAACAGCAGUUGUACCUUGCUUGCGCGCCUAAAUUACCAGCAAUCAGAAUGCAAUGCAAAAGAUAAAACAGCAAAGCAGAGAUCUGAGUACUUCGUUUGAACCAAUAAGAAAACGAUCAUAGUAAAACAAAAUGAAAUAAUAAUCCAGCAAUUUAUGCAAUUUCGUGUACUUUUCAACCUUAUUUCUGGUACUUUUACAACUUAACAAAAACCAAACAGACCAUAGAACCAAAAAAAUGCAUUGAAUGAUUAAUGUAGAUAUCCACAAAAUUCAAUUAAUAAACCUUAAUUCAAGAUAAUACUUCAAAAAAAAAAGUCAAAAACCGUCAGAUUAAAUAUCAGAAAAAAAAAAAGAGAAAUCAAAUAAAAAAUUAGGUGAGGGAUAAAAUGCACGUUACCGUUUGGGUCAUUGAUGAGUUUCUUGCCCUGGAAAGCCAUCUGAAGAUAUGAUUUGAAUUUUUUUCUUCGAGGAAAUGUGAGUUAAUUUAGCAGUUAAUUUGCAGCACUAACGCAUUAACUCCCCCCGCAAGACUAAUCAAUUCCAGAAGAAAGAAAAAGCAAAAUAAGAACCCUAAUUCUUUUUCUGCAGAAAUUUGGGAUUUUUGUAUUUUCUCUCUCUAGAAUACAGAGGAGGAAGUCCACCUGAGGCUGAGGAGCGAGGAGGAGAGUUGAGUAGAGUUCAAUUAUUAUAUUGCGCACUCAACGAGGAUGAAGUUAGCUCCGAGUAGUUUUUACUCUUUUUUUCUAUUUGGGUAGGACCCGAACCGGAUAAAUUGACGGCUGAGAAGAUUAAAAAUUUAAUAUUAUAUGGAUUACAUAAAAAUAUUUCAGUCCCAUAUAUAGGGAUGGCAACGGGGCGGGGUUGGGGCGGGGUCCCCUCCCCCGUCCCCCGCCCCGUUGCCUAUUAGUUCCCCCCGUCCCCCGCCCCGUCCCCCGCCUCCUGCUCCCCCGCCCCGCCCCGCCCCCGCCCCGUUUCCCCCGCGGGUGCCCCCGCGGGGUUAAUACAAUUUUAUUAUAUAAUUAAAUUUUAAUAAAUAAUCAAGUACUAAAAUAUCAACGCAUCACCAAAUUAUUAUUCAUUGUAAUUUUACAAUUGAAACUCAUAAAAACAAUCAAACAGAAGUUAUUUGAAUACAAUCCAAUAUGAUGAAAUAAAUAUAACUAAAAUAGUCAAGUUUUCACUUUUAGUACAAAUGCAAUCACUAAUUCAUUAUUGUGUUUGUGUUUUUUUUUGAGAAAAAAGUGUUAUUCUAUUAAGUGUAAUUAGAAAUUUAGUAUAAAUAUAUUAGUAAAUUUAGUAUAACUAAUUAAUAAAUUCUAUUAGUAAACAUGUAGAAUUAUUCAUAUAAUUGAUAAUAUCAAUUAUAUUACAUAAACUAACAUACAUUAUAUAAUAUAUCUAACUAAUAAUAUCAUUAUCAUAAGUUUAUAACUAAUUAACUUACAUGUUAUAUAUAAUUAUAUAUUUUUUUAUAUUUUUUUUUGUUUUGCGGGGGGCGGGGCGGGGGAUGGGGCGGGGGUAUACCCCCCCGCCCCCCGCCCCGUUUCUAAGCGGGGGGAAAAAAUUCCCCCCCGCCCCCGCCCCACCCCCCGCCCCAACCCCCGCCCCGAGAGCCCCCCGCGGGGCGGGUGCCCGCGGGCACCCGCCCCCAUUGCCAUCUCUACCCAUAUACUAUUAAAAUGUAGGGAUAAUUGCAGAAACCUCCCCAAGGUUUCUGACACUAGCACUCAUCUCCCCUGUGGUUUAAGAAAUAGCACUGACCUCCCUUGAACUUACUGAUUCUUUGCAUAUUCAGUCCAGGCUAGAAAAAGUGCCAUUAAAAUAUUAUUUUAAAUAGUGAGAUGAGAAAUUUGUGCCAAAUUUGCCCUUUGUGCUACAUGGCAAGUAGUAUGAGUAAAGGAAUGAUAAAAUACUGCAAAUCAAUUAACAAUUAAUAAAUUUUAAGGGGUAUAACUUAUGGGCAAAUGGGUAUUACCUAUUCAAAAUACCAACUUUUUAUGGCCAUUUUACUCUCAAACAUUUAAUUUAUGAUUAACACAUCAAUGUUUGUAAGUAAAUUCAAAAAGUGUUACAAUAAUAUUCUUACAAAAAUGAAAUCAGUAUGUUUUCUAUUUAAUAUAAAUUAAAUAUUUUUAAGAAAAGAAAUGGCUCAUAAAUUAUUAAUUCUUUAUGGCUUUUCUCCAUUACAUAUACAAAUUAUCGGCUUUUUAUAGGUAUUUUAUUUUGAAUCAUUUAAUUUAUGUUAAAUACAUAAAUAUUUGUAACUAAAAUUGAAAAAGUGUUGAACCAAUAUUUUUACGAAAGGGAAACUCUUCCAUGAGAAAAAGCAGGUUCCACUCUUCCAGAUCUGGCUAAUGAGAAAGUGCAUGGGAUUGGGACGUACUAGCAAGGGAUUUAUAGAGGGCUAAGCUAAUGAUAGUCAUUUGUUGCCCCAUUCUUCUUUUUGGCCAAUUGACAGUAGCCACGAGAAUGAUAGACAGGCAUUUAAGAGCCCUAAACAUGUUCACAAUUUGCAACAAGUUUUGCCAUACACGAUAGUAUAGCUUGAGUGUACACUUGUUAAUUCUUAGUGGUAUAUACAUAACUUGUAACAGUUUUGGCUAAGUUGUGAGAAGUUGUGGCUAAUGUCACAUAUAACAAAAUAUACAUACAUGUUUGUAUGCAUGUACAAUUAUGGACAGGUUCAUAGCAAUCCCCCGCCACCUCUCUCUCCCUGUCGGAACUAAGCAGCAGUAGAAACUUUGUUUUUUUUUUUUUUUUGCUUUUUCCUCUCUCCCCAUCUUCUCCCUCUCCAUGAUGCAAACAUAAGAUUCAAUGAUUCAUAUUCAAAUCAUACAAAUAGUUGAUCCAUUGGAGUUCGUCAAAUCAUUAUCCCAUCAUCCAUUGGAGUCAUCAAAACCGGAUCCCUCUCUAAGUUUUGUUGUUUAUUUAGUUUAUAAGUGUUAAAUUGUCAUUUGUCUAAGUUAAACUCCAGUCGCGUGUUAGUUAGUAAUUAGUAUUAAUUUGGAGUUAGCUUGAGUCAUUAACUAAAACGCUAAGGUCAUGUUGACCAUAUUUAAAUCUUAAGUCAAGUUAGUUUCCUAAUUCUAGCCAAGUUAGGAUUUAGAAACUAGUUAAUUGUUUCCAAAUUUAGUUAGGUUUUGAGCCUUUGUAAAAGCUAUAAAUAAGUCUUAAAUCCAAACGAUUUUCAUAAGACAUGAUGAAUCAAAGAAAAUUUCGACAAAACACAAGUCUCUUGUCCAAGAAAUCAAAACCGGAAUACUUGAGAGGAUUCUUAACUUUUCAAUUGACUUAUCAAUUCAAAAUCACGUUGAAUUGUGGCGUCAUUUUAUCAUUCUAAUCAAUCUCAAGCGGUCAUUGAUUGGAUUAAAAUCCAUCCAAUUAUGUCCAUAACUUGAUCGAAUAAGAUCUUUCCACUGCUUAAUCAACUUAGUUCUUUAAAACAGGUUCUUAUUGGGUCCAGUUCGUAUCAGUUGGUACUUUUGAGUCAUCAAAGUCAGUCCAAUUCGUGUUCAAAUCUCAACUCAAAGUGAACCAGAUUCAUAUAUGUCACUUCCUUGUGUGUUGUUGGCAACAAGUCAUUGAACUAUUUGAGAAAUUUCUGAUUUUUUUCAAGUAAGGAUAUCGAUGACUUAGAGAAUUGCUUGGUGAGCUUUUUAGAGCAUCUCAAACACUUGAAUGAUACAUGAAUAUGAGUGCAUACGCAUGAGGGUGUGUUGUGAGGCAAUUUUACGUUGUUUUAUUUUUACUAACCAUUUUUCAGGUUAAAGAUGAAUACCAAAGAAAAUUCACACUAAUUUAAUCGUACUAUGGAAGAUAUGAUGGGUGAAGUUAAACAAACUUUGCAUGAAACUUUCAAGUCUUUUCAUAGACGCCUUGACCUAAUAAUGAAUAAGGAUGUCAAGAGGAGGGGUUCUACACAAUUUAAUUUCAAAAUCCAAUCCUAUCUCUUUAAAGUUAGCAUAUUCAAGAUGAAGGGAGGAGGUUCAUUCGAUAACUAAGCAUGCAAAUAUAUUAUUCAUAGAUGAAGGAUUUAGUCGAGUGUGGGAGACAUAUCAACACCUCCUACAACAAAAGUUUGAGAAAGAGAAAACUGAGUGUAGUUAUAAGAGUGUAGAGGUAAAACUUGAAAGUGUUCUUGAGGUGAAAGUCAAGGAGAGUGAACAAAAGAAAGUAAGUGAACUUUCAAAAGUAUUGAGUGAGGAAAAAUUCUUGAGUGGUUCGGCCAUAGUGGAAAAACAAAAGGGAAAGCCGACGUCUAUUACAAAAUCUAAGGAUGUGAGGAGAGAUUCUUACCGUACUAACUAUCUCAACUUUGCAAUGUCUAGUAUUUAUUGUUUUAUGCAGGUUAACCAAAGUGCAAUUAUAUUAAUCUUAAAUUGUUCAAUUCCUAUGAUAGGGUGUUAAUUAUUAGUAAUUUUAUUGUUAAUUUUCCCUUUUAUCCUUGUCAAAUAUUGCUCUAAUUAUUAAUAUUUACUUAUAUUUGGUAUUGGACCUAAUUUCAGGGAGUGGAGCAGAAAAGUACAAAAAGGAGGGACUCUCUGAAAUAAAAUGGAAGACUUCUAAACACUUCACAAGCCUAGCCCACGUUGCUGAGAAGAAACGGAUUCCCAGUUCCCUUUUGGCUGACUAGGAGUCCUGCCACCAAGAGAAAAAGGAAAUACAAGGAAUCUGGCAAAGUUUCCUCGUUGUACCUGGACUCCCAAUCCAUGGGGACCACGGGAAAGCAUUGAGUCAAUUUUAGCUUUGGAAGGAAAGAAACGUAGGGAGCUUUGGCUAUUGCUUGUUCCUUAUCCGGCGGGACCACGGAGAGAAGUGAGGCAAUUUGUUUUAGAUUAGGAAACAAUUCUUUUCCUUUGGUUAGGCAAUUAUCCACGGGCCGCUGCUUUAUCUUUGGGGGAAUUGGGGAGUUUUUCCGGGGGUUUUUUUACUCUAUCGUUUUUCCUGAUCUCAACUUCGGUGACAAUGGCCGCAAUUACCCAUGCAAUUUUGCAUGGGAUUUCCUCCAUGAAGAUGAACUAAUUCAUUUUUUCUAGUCAAGAACAACGGAGGAUUUGGUUCGACUUAAAUUGUGAGAUCUAAUCGAUUUUAGCUUUCCUAUUAUUUUCUGGUAUUCGUCUAUCUUCUGCUUUAUGUUCAUAUGGUUGUUUUAUUAUUCGAUUAUCCAGGGCCCGGAUUCUAGAUUAAUUCAAUAACCUGAAGCCAAUUAGGGUAGUUAAAUCCGUAAUUGUUUAAUUAUUCUAAACUGGUGGCAACUGACAUGAUUGGGUUUGUGUCAGGGAGAUAGACAUGCUAACUUAAAGAGACCCUCGUAGCGUGUUGAUUGGUUAGAAUUAGGCUCUUCUAAUUAUUCAUGCAAUUAGGGAAUUGAACUUCUAUGGUCGUACCUAGGGUUGUUUCCUGAUUAGAGAAAUAGUCAACGGUCGUACCUUGGCUAUCGACAAAUUGAGGAAGAGUUGGUUGUUUAUCGCAUAUAUGACAACUAUAACUAAUUUAUCAGAUAGUAACUGGAAUAAUCCUUGCAUCUGUGAUCGAAUUAAGUGAACCAUCUCCGAAGUUGUCUCUUGGCUAGAGUUCGUACAUUAUUAUUUUUAUUGUGAUAAUUAGUUAAUUAAGUUGUAAUUAUUUUAUUUUAUUUUAAUUUAUUCCAAGUAAUUUAGUUACUCUCAUUUUCAAAAAAAUCCCCCAUACUUCGGACUCUAAAAGAAAUAAAUUAUCCCCAAUCCCUGUGGAUUCGACUCUACUUAUCACUAUCUACAGAAAUUAUAUUUUAUUUAAGCAGGUAUUUAUUAUUGCACAGGUUCGACACCCUGUCAAUUUUUGGCGCCGUUGCCGGGGACUGGUGCCAGAUUAAUUUGUUUCUUUUUGAAUUCAUCUUGUUUUUAUUUUUUUUAUUUAGUUUUCUCUUAUUUUUUUUAUAUAGUUUAUGGUUUCUAACACUCCGUAUUUUGGUGAUAGAUUGGAUUUUGUUUCCAGAGAAGGCAAUGAGGCUUGUUUUUUUGCUAAGUUUGCAUAUUCAGAGGCACUAAACUCUAUUAGAGAAAGAAUGGCUGCUGCAACCUGUAAAAUUUGUUAUGCCAGGGAUCAUUCAACCGGUAUGUGCCCCGAAUAUCAAGAUAAUUUGAGUGCCCCACUCAAUAAUUAUGGAGAUUUUUCACCCUGGUCUCAAACGUGGUAUAACCCUAAUCCAAACGGGUAUGAUCAAGGAUGGUGGGAUAACUCCAAUUAUAAUUAUACGACAGGGCCAAUGAAUUUUCAGCAGUAUGAGUCUCAAGAAUCAUCAUCUAUGUCAGGUAUGUCUCUUGAAGAAAUAGUUGAAUCAAUAGCUACUAAUACAUAUCAAUUCCAACAGGAGACACAAAUGAGAAAUGGGAUGAUGAAGGAUGCAAUGAGUAAUCUGGAAGAUCAAAUAUGUCUAUUGACAUCCGGAAUAAAUCGAUUGGCUUCUCAAAUUGAAGAAUUGCCCUCGAAAACCAUUGUUGAUUUUGAAGAAAAUGAGAGUGCAAUUUCCUUGACUAGUGAUGAGGAGAUGCAAGAGUGUCAAAAUCAGAGAUCUACAGAUGCAGUUGAAAAAAAAGCCGAAGAGGAAGAAAUGGAACCCCAACCGCAACCCAUUCAAGUGAAAGAAUCCAGUGAAGAAUCAUCAAAUGUGGUGACACCACCUCCAUUCCCUAACCCGCAUUUUCUUAACUCUUACUCUAUGAUUUCUGUUAAUGAGAUUGAUUUUGUUAUACCGGAAGUUUUUGAGUCUCAUGGCAGAAAUAAGUUAAGAGUAGCUAUUGUCAAAUAUCUUGAACCGUUGAGUGUUCUUGAUGGAGGAGUGGAUGAAGAAUUGAGAUCACUGCCUGAUUAUUUGGCGCCAUCUACUAGUCCAAGAAAAAUCGUAGCUCGUGUGCUCAAGGAUUACUCUAUUUACGAGGGUUAUCAGGACUAUAUAAAGGAUGAAGUAUUGAAACGAGGCACAAGAUUUUAUUCUUCCUGAGCAAAGAUGACAAUGUCUAGCCAAAGACAUUAAAAAAAGGCGCUUUUUGGGAGGCAACCCAAAUAUUGAUGUUAUUAUUUUUCAUUGUUCAUUUUUUUUCGUUUUUUGUUUCUCAGUUGAGUAGUAAUCGGUCUUCAUAUUUUUCUCCACUGUGGUAAGAAGUGCAAUUUUGGCGUGACCACGCGGUGUUUGUGUCUCUUGAGAUCAGUGGACGUUUACCAAUCUUAGCGUGCCCACGCGGUGUUUGACGACCCAAAACCUAAAAAAAAAAAAAAAAUUUUAAAAAAAUUAAAAAUUUCACAUUGCGAAAAUUCAAAAAUUCAAAAAAAAAAAGAAAAAACAUUUUUUUUCUUUUUCUUCAAAAAUUCAAAUUUUGAAAAUUUAAGUUCAUAAAAAAGAAUUUUUUGAAAAAAAAAACAUUGAAAAAAAAAACCCAAAAACUAUAUAUAUAUAUAUAUAUAUAUUUUUUUUUUCCCCUUUUCUUUUUCUUUCUUCCUUUCUUUUCUUUCUUUCCUUUCCUUUUCUUCUUCUUCUCCGCUGUUCCCCUGUUUUCCACUUGUCCUUCUCUUCUUUCGUUUUGUCCGCCGCCGCCAACCUCGUGUUCACCAGCUCCACCUCCGCCUCGAUAGCACCGCGCGCCGCCUGAAGCUCGCCGCAGUUGCUGCUCGUCUCCUCGCGCGACACGAGCUGCGUGCACCGCCGCCCCAGCUCACUUUUCUCCUUCCCUCUCUCCACUUUACCCACAGCCCACGGCCGUGCCUGCCUCCCUACUGCGCGCCUCCACCUCAGCUCGUCCGCCACCAGAUCGUGCGACCAUCACCAGCUCUCGGCCAGGUCGCACGCCACCAGCGCGCGAGCUCGCGCUCUACCAGCCGCGCACGCCGCCGCCCCUGUUCUCCCUUCGCGACGCCACCAGCAGCCGCGGAGCUACCCGCCGUUCCCCUCACUCUCCCUUUCGAGCUCGCGCUCUACCAGCCGCCGCUGCUCACGCCACCCACAGCCACGCCCUUCCCACCUGUCAAAAUUGACAGGUGGAGGUAUUGAAUCUUCAACCUCGAUUAGUAUUUUUCUGGUUCUUCUAUUGCUGGAAUUUGAGUUUUUGUGUUUGGGUUUCUUGAUGGAUAAAAGAAGGUGUUGAUUUGGGCAUUUUCUAGGGUAAAUUUUGGACAGAUUUGAGUUUAAUUGCUGCCAUAUGUGGGGAUAUUUUCUGAUAUUUAUUGAAUUGUUGGCCGUUUGAUUUAAUUCCUCCCUGUGUAUACACCAGUGGUACUGGUUGUGGUGUUACUUUACAAUUCUUAAAUUUUCUCGAAUUCUAAUCGGUGGUUGCUGGAAUUGCCUGUUUGCUGGGAUUCUUAAAAUUCUUAAGGUUUGGUCGCUUGAAGUGGGUAAUUGAAUGUCCAAUUGGUGACAUUUGUUGCGUUUCACUUGCUCCAAUUGGUUGAAUUCUUUGCUCUGUUGGGGUCCCUGUUGGUAUCACUUGAGUUCUGCUUUGUUAGUUUCUGUAUCGUGCCCCUUGAUCUUAUUUUGACUGAAUUGGAGACCCAGUGCAUAUUCAUUCAAUUUGCUAUGUUGCUAGGGUACUUUUCUAGCCUUUGGGGUGCCUCGGUUGUGCAUUUUAUUAAAUUGGGUUGGCCAUGUGGUUCCCUUCUUUCCUGUGCAUGCACCAGUGGUACCGGUUGUGCUAAUUUGCUUGCCAUUUCUUAUAUCGAUAUGAUUGAGCAUCUGUGACUGAGUACCCUUCGAUCUUGCUGCUUUGUUGGGAUCGUUUGUGGUGUCAAUUGAGUAUCAUUUGGUACUUUCUGCCUGGAGUCUAUUGAGCUGCCUUUGGUUGGGGUUUAUUGCAUUUAAUUGGUGCAUUGGACGGCUCUUGUGCCAUUUCCGUUGCUUAUUGCAGUAGGUUGCCUCUAUUUGCCUUGUGUGGGAGUAUUUUGUCCUUUUCAGUUCAAUUGCUAAGCUCAUUGGAGCACUUGCAGUGAUUUUGAGUUGCAUUAUUUCUGCAUUAAUCUUAAAUUGUUCAAUUCCUACGUCCAUUGGCGAGUUAAAGAACUUUCAUGGAAUUGGAGUCUUAAGUGUUUGACGAUCGAUGUAAUUUCACUUUGACGAUCGAUGUAAUUUCAUCAGCUGAAUGCUCAGGAAGUAACACGGAUAUGUUUUAAUAGAAAUUAUUAUGAUCUACUGGAUACUAUAUAACCUGUAUCCCAAGAUUCCCCACUUUCCUUUCUGCAAAAUCUAUAGAUAUUUGGGAGAAUGAAUCUUCUUCCUCUUCGCAACUGCAGCAACUUAAUCUAUCCAAUCACCAGUCUUUCUUCUCUUUACCUUCCAUUCUUUGCCUCCUAUAGUACAAAAGAGUUUCAUACACAACAAGAGCUAGAGAAACAAGCUGAAGAACAGCAGAGAGAAGACGGGCAACGACUGAAGCAAGAAGCUUCACUUGUGUCCCCAGCCAGAAUUCAGAAGCUAAUAGCUUCCCAGUCAGACCCUCUUCUUGCUAAAGAAAUCUUCGACUUAGCUUCUCGUCAGCCCAAUUUUCAUCACUCGUACGCGGCAUGGCAUGUCCUCAUCCUCAAACUCGGCCGCUCUGGCCACUUCUCUCUCAUGCAGUCCCUUCUCUCCUCCUUCAAAUCUCAGAAUUAUUCCAUUUCUCCUUCUCUCUUCUCCCAAAUUAUCAAAAUUUAUGGUGAUGCUGGGCUGCCUGACGAAGCCCUGAAAGCAUUUUACUUGAUUCUCAAGUUUAAUAUCAAGCCUCUUCCCAAACACCUCAAUCGCAUUCUUGAAAUUCUUGUCACUCGCCGUAACUUCCUCAGCCCUGCUUUGGACCUGUUUAAAUCUGCUCAGAGAUACGGGGUCUCUCCAGAUACCAAGUCUUACAACAUUUUGAUGCGUGCUUUUUGCCUGAAUGAUGACUUGAGUGUUGCAUAUUCCCUGUUCAAUCAAAUGUCCAAAAGAGAUGUUGUUCCUGAUGUAGAGUCAUAUAGGAUUUUGAUUCAGGGGUUCUGUAGGAAGAGUCAGGUUAAUAAGGCUGUUGAAUUAUUGGAAGAUAUGUUGAACAAAGGAUUUGUUCCUGAUGCUCUAAGCUAUUCUACUCUUUUGAAUCGUUUGUGCAGGAAACAGAUGCUCAAGGAGGCUUAUAAGCUUCUAUGCAGAAUGAAAAUUAAGGGAUGCGAUCCUGAUCUUGUUCAUUACAAUACUAUUGUUUUGGGGUUUUGUAGGGAAGGCCGUGCUUUUGAUGCUUGUAAGGUUCUUGAAGAUAUGCGAUCCAAUGGGUGCUUGCCAAAUUUGGUGUCUUACCGAACAUUAGUUGGGGGUUUAUGCAGUCAGGGCUUGUAUGAUGAGGCCAAAUCAUAUAUGGGGGAGAUGUUUUUGCAGGGAUUUUCUCCACAUUACUCAAUAGUACAUUUGUUAGUUAAGGGAUUUUGUAAUAUAGGCAAGUUUGAGGAAGCUUGUGCAGUUUUGGAGGAGGUAUUGAGGCAUGGGGUAGCUCCACAUAUAGACACUUGGAUGGAAAUGUUACCUAGAAUUGCUGAGGUGGAUGACCCUCAAAGUAUGGGCAAUACCUUGAAUCAAGUUUUGAAGAUGGAGAUAAAACCUGACACAAGACUUGUCGAUGCUGGUGCUGCUCUGGGUGAAUACCUGGUUAAGAAAAUAGGACAUCGAUCAACCAAGAUAUGAUCUUCUUCUUCAGAAUCAAUGGAUUGAUCAAAAUGUGUCAACUGAACAUGAGGAAAGCUGCAGUUUUUCGUCACGGAUGAGUACCUAUUACAACUCAGCGCUGUCAUUUUGUUAUCUGAGUGUACCAUGAUAACUACAAUUUGUGGUUGGUGGGCUAUUGCUUUUUCCCAAUGUGCCCAUUAUGAUCUAAUGGAGGGUGGUAUUUCCACGACCAGAAGCCUAGGAGCCUCAGUGCUGCAAUUGCCGUUGACAGACAUGCUAGUACAUCAUCAGUUGUUGCGAUUGCAGGAUUUCGCAGAUAUUGGAAGAGAUUAAGCAACUGCCUCUGGAAUUGUUGUUCAAGGAAUGUGAUGCUUCAUUACCAGCAAAGCCUAAUAGCACAACUGCUUACGUCUGUUAUAGGGAGCGAUAGCAGCUGCUACAUGGGAAUGCUUCUUUCCAAAUAGCCUGCUAUGAGCUUAGUUCUGUCAAAUAAAUUCAACGUAUCUUGAGUGCAUGGCCAUUUUCAUGACCUGCAUGGAAUCUAUUUUGGUGUCCAACAAAGAAGAGGACUAAGAACUAUGGGUGGUCAAAACCCAGGAAAAAGGAAGCAGAGCAAAGGUCGGAAGGGCGCACUACUUGAUGAACACUUUUUGGCUUCCCAUCUUGCAUUUUUCCUUCGAGAUUAAUUUUGAUUUGCCUUUUGUUUCCUUUUUAAGACGAUACGGACCCUUAUCAUGAGGACACCAAGACUAUAAUAUGAUCUUGGUAAUUUUACUUCAGAACUACUUUCCUUCACCUAGAAUUUAUAUGGAUGAUUUAGCUUUGCCAAUAUCAGAUAGUAGGUCAAUUUUAAUCUGUCUAUGCUGGUAUACAUCUUUAAUACAAUUUAGCUUGUAAUAUUGUGAUGUAAGAAAGGCACCCUACAGGUUUACCAUUAAACUACGAAACUUCUACAAAAUAUGGUGUCAGAACUGCAACUUUAAGCGCAUCAAAGUAUAAUUCUUAAAUAGCACGACUUCUAUAUAGUCAAAACUAAACCUUUUCACCAGAAAUGGUGAAGAAAUGGUGAAGCAGAAGCCAUAGAUUAGUUCAUCUCCUAUUGUUUCAACAGCUAGGAUUUGCAAGAGCAUCCGUAGCCCAUUUUGCUUCUUGAAAUUACAAACUGAUUAUGAAGGCCCUUGCUUCUUGAAAUUACAAACUGAUUAUGAAGGCCCUUGAAAGGGUGACAAUCCAUUGAAGAGAACUAAUCCUCCAAUGCCAGCUAAACUAGGCAUCCUAUGUCACAUACUGCUUUCAAAUUAUGCUGGUCCGUGAAUAAUAAUAGGUGACUUUUUAAGUGCUACCGUUUCAGCCUCUGCCACUCAAUUCAGCAUAGUGUGAUUUAAGACCACCUAACUUUGGCUUCUCGAGGCAGGGUCAAUAACUCAUUCAACUUCUUAGGUAAGGGAUUGGCAUGCGCAGCAAAUCCUAUGAUCUUUCACUUAUUAUAAAGCCACAACCAUGUUAUCUGUCAGACUGCUCUCACAUCAGGAAUCAGGAUUAGUACUUGAUCCCUCUUAAUCAUUUCAAGAUCCAUGUAGUAAUUCAGCCAAGCAAUCAGUCAAAGAUCAAGCCUCAGAAAGCAAGGAACAAAUCUUAGAUUUCCCAAGGAUCCAGGGUUCUGCCAAAAAUCCCGACAACAACCUGCUGAUUAGCCACAUGCCAGUGUGUAUUGAGAGCUUAUUUCCCUCUCAACCUCAUGCUCUUCCGCUUCUGAUUCAGUGCAAAACGUCGUGCCAUAGCAGGGUUGUAGAAUUUCCUCAUAUACUCUGAUAGCCUGUGAAUAGCUUGAAGAUCACCAACCGCAGAGAGCUUCUUGAGAAAAGAAUCAAAUGUUCUGAAUGGCAAUUUCAUUCCCCUUUUUACAACUUCUUCCAAAAGAAAGCAUGCAUCUUGCAUGUUGUUAGAAUCAAAAAGUCCUUCAAUCAUCACACAGUAUGAAUCAAUGUCACGCUUACAACCCCUUUGAUCCAUCUCAUGCCAAGUCUCAAAGGCUCCAUCAAUGUCACCCAUCCGGAAAAACAUUAAAAUUAGCAUAUUAAAAGUCUGUACACUGGGAACACAACCCACGUUGAUCAUAUUUUCAUAAAGCCUAAUUGCUUCUUUACUAUCUUUAUUGUCACAAAGAACCUUAAGAAAACAAUUGUAAGUGACAAUAUCUGGAGGAAAACCCCCAUUUCCCAUUUCUUCCAGAAAUUUAUAAGCUGCCUCAAUCUUUCCUCCCAAAAACAUGCCUUCAAUGACUUCCUUGUACGUGGAGACAUCUGGAAGGCAUCCACUGUCUAUCAUUUCCCUAACAACUUUAAAGCAUUCCUCCAUUCUAUCGCUCUGGAUAAGGGCCACAAUGAGGAUCGAGUAAGUUUUUGCAGUGGGAGAAGACAUAGUUGUACCUUUUGUUCUCAUGAAUUCCAAAAGUUCAGUAGCCUCUGUCAGCAUCCCUGCUCUGCAAAAUGUAUCCAUGGCUGCAAUAUACGUAAAGCUAUCAGGAGUAUGCCCCAUUUUAAUCAUUUCAUCAAGUAUGUUCAUUCCCCUACUAGGAUUUCUGACCCUGCACCAUCCGAAGAACAAAGUGUUAUAUGUGUCAGCAUUAGGUUUGAUUUUACUUUUCACCCUCCUAAACAUGGCUUCAGCAUCCUCAACAAGACUACACUUACACAAAGCAUCCAAAAGCAAAUUAAAAGCGUUGAUUUCCGGCUGUGUCUUCACUCUAAUCUUUUUCUUCCUAGCAAAUUUCUGAAGAUGGGUCAAAUAUUUCUCAGUGUAUUGCCUCAACAUAUUCAACAACACUUCAACAGGAACUGAAUUCUUGUUGUUCCUCUUCAUGUACUCUAGCAUAUCACAAACAAUUCGAAACUGUUUGACCUUAUAUUUUGUACUUGAUAAUAUAUCCAUCAUCUCAUUAUAUGCCUGAGGCUCGUGACUAUAAUGCUCCUGAUGCCCGGCCCAUGUAAAGAACCUAAAGGCUGUCUUCUCCUCAUAACGAAGCCUAUGCAACACCUCUACAACCAUUGGAGUUGUCAGUUUGACACAUGCUCUAUCAAGAGCUUCCUCCAUUUUAAACUCUGGUUUUGAAUAAUCUACCACUAUUUUGUGCAACUUAUCAGCAAAAUUACCAUCAUCAUCAUUCAUUUCUGUCACGGCAACAUUUUCCAAAGUACAGAGCUGCCUAAACUGUCCUCCGAGAAGAAUAGACAACUUCACAUACGCUGAGAAAUGAUCAACAAAAUCGGAUCCCCCGCUGGAACAGAUAAAUGGGCUAGAAAGUGAAGCAUGAUGAACUGGAAAAAAGGGUGAUACAGAAACUCUUUUAUACCCGCGAAAAGAGAUGAAUUCAGAAAACAAAUAGGGACAACGGAUGAAGGGUUGUGAUGAGCAUACAUCUUUGAAGCAUCUAUGACUUCUACAUGAUGUUAAUGAAGUAGUUAACAGUUUUCGCCACAUUGGAGAAAAAUAACAAGGAACGUGACUAAAAGUUCUUGAUACAGGUAAAAAGUUUCAACAUGUACCAUAUAAAUGGAGAACAAGGGAAGAGUCAAGGUAGAAUAGACCAGUAUUUGUCACUGAGACAAAUUAUCAAACAACUAGUAAGCUAUUCUAACAUCACACCUGAAGAUACUCUUGGCAGGGUAUAUCUUGCAACCUCGGAGUAAAUUGGAGUGUUCCAGAGUGUUGGGAAAGUGGGAAAGGGUCCAAGAAUGAUAUCCGAGUCCGGACUGCCCUGUUCGCGGUCUAGGAGCUCAACAAAGAGGAGACGACGGAGGCUAAUUGCUCAAGAGAAAGUCUUCAAAAUUGCUAUACAUCAAGGGUACUUAUGACUACUGGCUGAACUCUAAGGGUACUCGUGAAAUUUCACCUAAUAGUCGGGCUCUAUGUGACAAUUGCCAAAGCAAAAUAAAAAUAAAAAUAAAACUGCAGGCAAAAUAAAUACUGGAGCAGUGAUGGAGAGAAGCAGCGGCUAUUGGAGCCUGGAGGAAAGCUAUGGAGGCUGAGGAAAACGAACCCACAAGCCAAAGAACAAAAAGGGUCAGAAGGCAAGAGGUAAAACUUCCAACUUUUAAUCCAAGAAAGAGCCCACAAAAGAAAGUUAUGCAUACUAAUUGUGGGUUUUGUUCUUGACUGGGAUUUAUGAAGGCAGAUAUUGGAAAAAAAGAAGGCUGCGGAUGACAUAAUCAGAGCUGCUUCUUCACAAAAGGAUCAUCUUUCUUCGUUUCCCCAGUAUCGCCAUUAUCGCACAAAUGGUUGGUUAGUUUUUUUUUUCCCCUGUUUAUGCAAAGAUUCCUUUUUUAAUCUUCAAUGUAGAUUCUUCGAAAAAUUCAUCAUAUUUUCUAACAAAUUCUAUCUUUCAGCAUUGAAAUUGAGUACACAUUGAUGAUCAUUUGAAUCUCUUUUCAUAGCAGAAGCUUUAUUUGGUUGUCCCUUUUGUUUCAUUCUCUUGGCAAGUAGGUGAUGACAAUGCAAUAAUUGUUUCUGGUUCAUUGUCUUAGCUAGUUUUUCUACUUCUUUUUCCCCCCUUUUUAUAGAUCAAUAUUAUAUGAAAUUCAAUAUUUUGGUACUUAGGACUGUCUGUGUACUUGGGGUCUGGACUUGGGGAUAAGCUCUCAUUCCAUCUGAAGCAGUACAUACAGAAACUUCUCAAGGUAAAUGAAGGGACGACGCUCUAACUAGUUCAUUCUCAAAGAGAAUGAAGGAAAGAUGGAAUCUUGUUCUGUUUCCUCUUCAUUUUUUAGAUCUUAUCUUGCAGGUAAACAUGGAGGGACCAUAUGGAUCAGAGUGGCCGACGGAAGAGAAAGUGAAGCGGAAGGAAAUGGUUGCUCCAGAAGCACGUUAUAUAUUUGUAUAUGAGGAUACAAAUGUAGAUGGUAGUCAAAUUUCUUCCAUGCCAGAGAAUGAGAAGAGUUCAAGUCAUACAGAUGCAAUUGUUGGAUUUGUACAUUACCGAUUUAUUAUGGAGGAAGAAGUACCAGUUCUUUAUGUGUAUGAAUUACAGCUCGAAAGUCGUGUUCAGGGAAAGGGACUUGGGAAGUUUUUGAUGGAUCUAGUUGAGCGAAUUGCCAUCAAGGUACUUUAUGUCCCUUUUCUAACCUUUUCUGUAUUCUCAAAGCAUUUCAAAUCUUCAUAGCAUACAAAUUCUGCAAAUUUUAAAAUAGAAAAGGUCCUGCUGAAAAUGAAGUCAAGCAUAACUUUGUAUGCCUCAGGAAAAAAAUAUAAAAUCAAAAAUAGGAAAAGAACUUAGCUGUUUCACACAUAUGACAAGAUAUUCUGGCUGUGAGUGUAACUUAUUAUAGUGUUUAAAGUUGUUUAUACUUGCUGUUAGUGUCUAACUCAUGAUCUGGGUUUUGCAGAACAGAGUGGGUGCUGUGAUGCUUACUGUACAAAAGAAAAACUUAUUAGCAAUGAACUUUUAUAUGGCUAAACUUGGGUAAGCUUGAAUGCCCUUUUCCAGUUUUGUUCUCAUCUUGCAUUUCCAAGGAGGCAAGCUUGAUACCGAUUAAUCUGCUACUCGUAUAUUUAAGAAAAGAAUCAGUGGAAGGCUUUCUCUCAUGACAUUUUGCUUAUGUAGAACAUGUAAUCAGGCUACGGGCAAUGGAAAGAACAAAUUGAAGCUUAAUUCAUGUUUUCACGUGCAUGAAAAUGUUUGAAUUGGCAGAAUAGCCACUCCUGGGACUGUUGGAAAACUUUUAUUUGUUUAUUUAUUUUUGUUUCUAUUCCUGUUGGAAGAUUUUUAUUAGCUACAGCUGGCAUUUUGUGUUUCCUUUGCUCUUUAAAACUACUUUGUAACCACAUAAACUUUGUUAACUUGAAGAACCUUUGUAUUGUGGAAGGUGUUUUCGAUCUUCACCUGCCCUGUAGUUCAUUUUUGGUGCAUGAAUUUUGCGGUUUUCAUUGACAUUUCUAUAAUUCUUAUGAAAAAAAUCACCACCUUCCAACUUUAACAACAUAACUCUUGAGGAGCUAAGUUAGUCUUUUAUUCUUCUCAACUCUUAUAACUUCUUUUAGAUAAGUGGAACAAUGUAAACGCAAGCAUUUGUAACUAGAAAAAUCUAAAGGAAACUAGCAUAUCGUUCUUCUCUAAGAAAAAGUACAGUUAUCAAAGUUUCUAGCAGCUUUAUACUCCUUAUUUCUUGGUUUUUCCAAUGGUCAAAGGUUAUAUUCUUUCAUAUAUCUCUUCUUACAGCUAAAGAAUUCAUUCUUUGGUGUUGGCAUGACCAGGUACAUUGUGUCUGCUAUUUCACCAUCGAGAGUCUAUCCAUUGGUAUGUGCUCUUUCAGCUUACCUGCAAUCUAUUGUUCACUUUACAUUCUAAUACCCUCCUUUGAUGCAGACAGGAUUAGAGACAAGUUAUGAGAUUCUUUGUAAAGCAUUUGAAGCUAAAUCUGCAUUUGAGGUUCGUACUUUCUCCCUAGCCAUAUGCUGUCUCAAGCAAUGCUGUAGAAUAUAACUUAUGGGUUCUGCUUGAGAGAUAGUGAAGCAUUCUAUUCUGAAGCAAGUGUAUUUUUGCAUUUAAACAUGUGAACAAGGGUUAAGGUUGGUGUAGUUAAUUCUUCGUCAACUUCUGUUUCCUUGGUGUUUCUGAAAGACCACAAAUUCGAUUUAGCAUAUGUUAAUGGCAUUAGCUUUUGUUUUAAUCUCGACACAUCUUUCUCUAGGAUAGAGAUUGCAAGCUUAAUUGUGACCCAGUUGCACUUAAAUCAUGGUUGAACAUUGAAUUAUCUCAAUUUAAGCCCGCUGUCCACUUGUAACCAAUUUUUGUUCGUUCCAUGAAGGAGAGCCAAUGACUAGAGUGACAGCUUGACUGGAAUUCCUUCAAGUUGCCUUGUUCUUUGUAUCAAAGUUUCAACCUCAUUCCUGAUGGAAGAUGAGAGGUUUGUCUAGAGGAAGCAUGAAAAGUGCAAUCUUCAGACAAGGAAUUUAUAUCUCUUAUAGGUCCAUUUUAGUUUCUGCGUUUAGCAAAAGUGUAUCAUAAUGUUAUCAGAAUUAGCUUUUGUGUAUCUUAGGGACAUUUCAAUGUUGUCCUCCUAGGUAAUUUAAGGUUUUUGGCUCUGGAUUAAACUUGAGACUGCAUUAUUCUAUUACUGAGGGAUCAGAAGAUGAAAAAGCUAUUGGAAAAGCAUUGUUACAGCUCAUUCUCAUUUCUCCCGGAAUCUUGACUUCUAGUAAUAAGCAAUUUGGAUGCAUUUGUUUGAUGACCACCAGUCCUGCUAACCGCACAAGGGCUGGAAAUCUCCUUUGUUAAAUCUUCCCAUUUUAGUUAACUUCACAAUUUUAUGCUCAAAUUUCUAGAGCAUGUUGCAGUCUUUGGUGAAAACAAAACUCGGUUUUACCUUCUACCAUUCAACCAGCAAGAUUCUAGGUGGGCUUAGUUAGAUUUAUUAAGAAAUUGGAUGAGAUAUGCAACAAGGAACUGAUCAAUGUGUAUCUGAAGUUUAACAAUUAAAUUGAUUCUUUAAAGAGUUUAUGUAUGAUACAAUCUUUUUUUUAAGAACAUGGUGACAUUUUCAGCGUCUUUCACUGAUAGUUACAUCAUCUCGCCAUCUUUCAAAUGCAAAUUGUACAAUUCGAUAUCAUCAAGAGGGAUAUUCGUUGUCUUGUACCAUUUUUGUGCUCUAAUAUAUAAUGUAUCACUAUUUCCAACUAUAGACAAGCUUAAAUACAAUAGCAAAUUGACACAAAAACUUUUACGAGGUGCUUCAUCAUACAUAAUUACAUAGUGCUUUUUUGGCAAAAAAAAAGAACAUUAUUGGUCCGGGUAAAUGUAAAUAUGUGCUCGUGCUAACCGCAAAUGUUACCUAUGGGUUAGACAAUCCAACGAGGAACCCCUGGUUCAGAAAUACAAGAUACUGGCGUGCGAAACUCUACAGGAAUCUUGCCCAGACAACCCCAAGGCAAUAGAUAUAAGAGCCAUUUUGCCAAAAGAAAAACCAGGAAUGCCAAAUGCAUGCGCAGACCAUGGCAAGUUGCUGCAGUGCAGAACAUAACAACAGAAGCCACAGUUAUAAGAUAAGAAUCUACAGAAACUGAAAAUUCCCAAGAAGAAACAGACAUUUUUCUACAUCCUUUUCAGCAGAGUGUUAUACGAUGUAUGCUACAAAUGGAAGCAGGUUUUUGAAGAAUUCUUCCAAAACCCGAUGGCCAGGCAAAGCAGAUACAUGGGUUUUCAUCUGCCCAACACAAAUCAAUUUUCUCAGCCUUGAACUCUUCCCAAGGCAAAGCAAGUAAUUAAUGUCGAGCAAUACUUGCAAUAUCACUACAGGGAUUUUGGGACAAGUGAAAAUCAUAAUUCACAUGUCAAAUUCAGAUAUCCUGACCUAAAGAUGCAAUUUUAUUAAGGUUUUAUUCGCCUGCUUCACGGCACAUCAUCAAUGAGCAAAGUUCCAAGAAUGCUCAUUGGUCAGGUGCUAGAACUCCACCUCAACCUACAUCUUUGGUUCAACCAUUCAAUUAUUUCCUCCACAAUUUCUUGUCUUUCAGGUUCAAAGAGCAGAUCAUGUAAAAGCCCUUCUAUAAGCCUGAUAGUUUUGUCAUUUGAGGAGGCCUCCUCAUAAAGUUUCCGAGAUGCUGCUGGAUCAGUGACUCCAUCAGCACUGCCAUGAAGAACUAAAAAUGGCACUGUCAACUUCUUCAAGUUCUGUUGUAGAUAGGCCGUAAUCCGUAAUAUUUCAUAGCCAGUUCUUACCCUGAUAGAUCCUGUAAACACUAGAGGAUCGGAGUACUUGGCAACUAAUGCCUCUGGAUCUCUAGAAACUACAGUACCCGUUUUAUUUGCUGCACUGAACUGAUAUCUUGGCAAUAAGAAGGAAAAAAUAGGAGCAAGUACCUAUUAUAAUGAAAAUAGGUCAAGUCACCUUAUACCAAUUGAUGGCGAUAAAUACAUUUUAAAUUGAUGAAUAGUUCCUAAAGCAAAUAAUCUGUAGCAUAUAAUUCUGCAUGCGUAAAUGGUUGAAAUUAGGAAGAAAAUGUCUAUCAACAGAGAAAUGGUCCUUACUGCAAAAAUUGGAUGGGAAGGUUGAACUCCAACAGCAGGUGAAGUGACAACUACUCCUGCAAUGUGAGCUUUAACCUCUGGAUCCAGUACUGCCUAAAGUUGAUGAAAACAAGAAUCAUUAAAAAUGAGAGGUACACAUAAGAGUGUUUUACAACGAAGGUGCCAUUCUAACAUCACCUUAAGAACAAUGGCUGCACCAGUCGAGUGUCCAAAGCAAAAGCAUGGAAGACCUGGAUUUUCGGCUAGAACCUUCCUAAUAAAUGAUUUCUGAAUGAAAUAGAAUGAAGAUCAGUCAAUAUAAAUGUGCAAACAUCAUAGAAAAAUAGACUUCAAUCCCUAUAUUGUGAAUAAUGUUCAAAGCAUACCAUAUCAUGAACAGCAUCACUAAGCGAAUGAACAUAAGCAUGAAGUCCAUCACUUCCACCAUGUCCUACAGUAAACAUAAAGAUAUAAUCAAAUGGAAAAACCUACUUCUCGUUCUAAACAGAAAACAGAAAACCGCAUGGCAAAUUUUUGGGUAUAGCAUUUCAGGAGUCCUGGCAUUAAUAGGCUAAACUCUAUCAUAUGACGUCCCUAUCAGACAGAAAGUGAAACACAAAAGGAAAAUUUAACAGCAUCCUAAAUGUUAUAGCGCAAGUAAAAGAACACACACAGCACAAUCACAGAGAGAGAGAGAGAGAGAGAGAGAGAGAGAGAUUAUAAAAGUUGCAAGUCAAAAACUUCUAAAAUGAGGGUUCGCACUUGAUGGAAAUGUGCUAACAAACUUUUCCACCGAUAUCACUUGGCUUCAAGAAUUAUGAGUGUCAGUCCUAUGAAAUCAACAGAUCUGAAAAAUCAUACUAUGCCACUUAAGAACAUAGACAAAAAGAAAAUUACAUCUGCUACUGAAAAUUGAUGAAUGACCAUCAGUCUUUGAACUUAAUAUCUAAUUCAGCUAGCAGUUAAUAAAACCCAUGUUUAUGCACCAAAAUGAUGUUCCUUUCCAAUAUUGAGACUUACCACUAAAUAAUUACUUUCACAAAGCACUACAUUGGACAUGAUUCUUCAUUGGAAGUGGGAAUUCUAAGCAACCGAUCACAUAUGAAUACAUACAUAGAUGCAUGCAUGGAUGCAUACAUGAUUGGUUGCUUAGAAUUCUCACUUCCAAUGAAGAAACAUGUCCGAUGUAGUGCUUCAUGUCCAUCCAUGCAUGAAUUAUGAGUUGCUAUAUAUCCUGUCAAUUAUAUUUCUCUUCUUCGCUUUAGAAGAGGGGUAUCAAACUGAUCGAUUCAGUAUAAAAUUUUAGUAUUCAAAAAUGAGUUCCAAGAAAACAUGCUUCCUCCUUUAGCAUUCUUCUAUGUGUUAGGGCAGAUGCAAGACUCAAAUAAUUAGCUUACUUAUGAAGAGGAGCUUCACAUGGUACUUUUUUGCACCAAUGGCAUCCGCAUUGAAAAAUUUUCAAUCCCUGCAUCACCCAAAUAUACAUGUGUAGUUGAAAUCCGUCAACUCUAGACUAUAAAAAGAGAGGUCCAGCAGACGAAUAUAAAAACACUCUUUUUUUUGUUCUUUUUCCUUUCUGCAAAGAAAAGAAAAGGAAAAAAAAAAAAGAAAAUAGAUUUUGAAAUGAAAUUGACCCGGGCCUGGCACCAGAUAUCCAACUUUUCAUGGAAAUCAUAGGGUAUAUGGUAUUGGUGUUUACUGCCAUAACUCUUUAGAGUCACUCUCUCUAUAUCAGGUCCAACUUUUCAUGGGAAUCAUGGGGUAGGGUACCAGUGUGUAACCCCAUGUACUUUUUAAGCUCUCUCUCUCCCUCUCCACUUUGUAUAAAAGCAGAAUUAGCUAACAUGAUGGAACAGAUAUUGCUCACACUGACCAAUUGCAAUUUUAAGCCCAUUUGCAGCACAAGGGAUGCCAUAGCUAUAGCAUCUCUGAUCCCAUCCCUGCACUUCCAACAGAGCCCCUUUCGACCAUCUGAAGCAUAAUUUAUUUAUUUUUCCUGAAUAGUAUCUCUAUCUACCCUCUGAACUUUAUGCCAUGAACAUCUCUCGGACUGUACAUCAUUUUUUAUAAGCACUUUCACCUUCUUAAAAUUGGCCAAAUCAAUAAUGACAAUGUUCAAGAUUAGCGAUUUAAACCAUCAUUGUUAGUACGCAUUCAGAUGUUGAUUUUGUCUCCAAAACAAAGGUGCCCAGACUGCUAGGGCAUUCUUACUCUCCGAAGUACUUCUCACUUUUCAUGCCAACCUGAGAAGUCAAGACUCAUUUUGUUUAUGUCCAACAAUCAGGUGAACUUCUCUAGACUGGCAACUGAAGUUAACAUCAUCUGACUGAGUACAAUCUACAUUUAGGGCACAUUCCAAUCAUAAUACUUCAUGAACUUGCUUACCAUAGUAGUGCAGAAUACUUUGAGCAAUACUUUCAUUUGCUAAAUAAUAGUGUUAAAAAAAUGUUUUGUGAGCUAGUAGUUCAGAAUACUUUUACUUGCUAAAUAAUAGUGUUGAGAAAAAUGUGAUUUCAAAAACAAAAUAACACCAGAAAAUAUUGAAUUUCAAAAACAAUAAGUAAUAGAUAGCAUAUAGUAAAUAAAACCAAAUAUAUCCUUUUAGAGAUUUUAGGUUGAAGUAGUUUUUAGCAAAUUGCAGAAUAGAACUUUAGAACUUUAAUAGCAAUUUCAUUAGAAUUAAAUUGCUCCCAAAAACCCACUUAUCCUAAAAGAAUAAAACUUAACUUCGAAUAUGGUCUACAACAAGCAGUUAAAAUUUUUUUACCUAUCCAAUCCAUUGCAUAGACCUUGUAACCAUUUGCAUUCAGCUGCUGAGCAAAAUCAGUGUAUCUGCCACUGAAAAGCACCAUAUUCACUUUAGAAAUGAAUGACAUCAACACGAAAGAAAUUUGCAUCUAAAUAAAAAAAUUUGCUAACAAACCUGUGUUCGUUCAAGCCAUGUAGGAGAGCAACCAACCCUCUGCAAAAGACAGACCACGCAUUGUCAUUUUAUAUAAAACAUAUCUCAAAACAAUUCACUGAGAAUAGCAGAAAAUAUUAAAAAAUUCAGGGUUCAAAAAAUUACAAUAGCAGAAAAAAUUUUCACUGAGAAUCCUUAGGAAAUAAAUUAACUAUAACUAUGUCCGAUAAAUGAACUUGCCAGUGUAAAUUCAGAAAAAUUGAAGCAAGCAGAAAAUUCAAUAAACUAAAACUGCAAUGGCGAGAACAUUGAUUUUUUUUUUUGGUGCUUAAACAUUCCCUUAAGUGUCAGGUAAUCAUUUGGGAUUUCACGUCUUUAUGUAAAACAAAAAAAACAUUUUCCAAUAUCAGUUUUUAAUAGUUUUCCUGGCAAAACAUGAAAUUAUAUCUAGAACGACUGUUGUGACACUCGCGAAGGCUAUAAUUGCUUAAUUAAGAUGCUACUGUUUGGCUUCCUAGUUGUCUUGCAAAAGAAUCAAAUGCACUUUAAUGCAGAUUCAGCACCAAAAUGUAUGUGAAGUUUCAAGGACAUUUUUGCCGCUCGAUGCCGUAUCGAAUCCAAAACAGCUCUAGACACAGUUCAAGUAGCAAUGGUCAAGUUCACACACUAAUUAAUAAGGACACUUUAUGCCUGCAUAUACACUUCACCUUUCAAUUUAUAAUCAUCUUAUAUACAACAUAUCUCAAUCUUUGGAAGACUUGGUGAGAAUGUGAAAAUCAUCACCCUCCAAAUACUCUCAGAUGUUUGUAAUGAUUCCAGCCCCAAAUCCCAUCAUUACAACAUGGGCAUUACGAAAACGUGUGCCAAGCCACAGGUCAUGACGGUGGAUCCACGAUAUGGCUGCAUGUAGAAUUGCAGAGAGAUAUAAACAGAUUUAUCCCAUUCUACCCAAAAACUAUGAUAAAGGUUAAGGGUAACAGACAAAAGGGUCACCUUCUCCACAGACACUAGGUUACUGUGUCUCUUGAAAUGCGGACCUCCUAGUUGUACAGUAAAUGAUUCCAUUCAGACACAACAGCAAAAAUCAUAUCAACCAAUUGAAGAGGAGAGGAGGAUAAGCCUUAUGAUUCUUUGAAUUUCUGGACAGGUGGCAAUUGUUCUCAAAUUUAUCGAGCUGUUAAAUAGGAGGAUAAGCCUCGUGACAAGGACAUAUACAUUUUCGGUACCAUUCCAUGUAUUGACUUGUCAUCCUCAAAUCCCACAAGAUAAAGAAUAAGAAUAAACGAUGAUUCUUAGUUCUCACAUGACACAGCUUGCGGAUUCAGAUGAGAACAAAAGCAACACAAUUUGCUCUCUGCUUUCACCAGAGAAUAUUGUUGAAAGUUGAAACCUCAAUGACAUAAUAAGAACACAUAUGUACGCACAAAAAUUGUCCGUGUAAACAGACUAACCUAAGGACUAUAUUUAUUAUCCGCCUACCUCAAAAAAAAAAAAAGUUUAAAACUUUGUGCUAACAAAGCAAGUUUUGCACAAUUAAAAACAAAAUGCCUGAUUUGUCCUAUGCUGCAUUCAAUUGCACCUAAUAGGAGAAAGGGAAAAAAGGGCAAAAGGUCAGCAACCCAAGAAAAACUCAAUGAUACUCCUAUCAAAUAAGGUUGACUGAAAUUACCAAAAAAGAAAACUUUUUCCGGUUAAGAAAAGAAAAAUAUAUUCAGUUUCACCCCCCAGGUAAAAGGAAGCUAGUAAGUGCUUAAAGAAACAAGAAGCCUACAACCUCAGUAUUAAUUGACAUAACAAUGCAAGCUCAAAUUAUGUUUCUUAAUGAUUACCAUAGCAUUAUUACAUCAUAAAGCCUGAAGCUUUGUAGAAUUUUGUCGUUAGAAUUUAUUAACCCUUAAUAAUUAACUGAACUAUUUACCUGACUUUAAUGCCAACCGGAGUCCAUGACUGCGUGAACAAGGUAUCACCUCUGGAUGUCCCAAAAAGGGCGUAGUCUCUCACCGACUGUUUACAGUUAUCUUCCAAAACCCUCUUUAUAGCCAACGCCCUCCUUGACGCCACCUCCUUGUCCACCGCCGAGCUCUUCCUUGGCACCAUCGCCGCCGGCACUCUCACCACCGUCACACCUCCUUUUUUCUCCGCCUGUCUCUCCUCCUUCCCAUGCCCCUUCUCCCCACCUCCACUACCACCACAACUGCCACUUCCUCCCGCCUGACUCCCCGGCCCCAUCACGGCCACCGGCGACACCACUCUCCGGCGCCGAAAUGGCAAAAUUAACAACAAAACAAACGCAUUUAGAACCAUUAACAAGCUCUUCCAAACUCGCACAGAAAACAAAGCGCUAAUUCUUCCACUCGCCCCGGAGGUUAACAUCACCGUCGCUGCCACAUCCUUCCCCUUCGCCGCCUCCACCAUCGCCAUUUCUUCUUUUUUCCUCCUAACAACCAACGGCUUCAAUCCAAAACUUCGUAAUUUCGACGACCCUUUUGGUUUAAACCUCGUUUUAACUGCAAACUUAUAUGGGUUCCUAUUAAUUAACGGAAUAUGUAAAUAAUCAACCGUCAAACAGGUCAUAAAAGACGAUAAAAAUCAGAACUUGAUAAAAAUUUUGGCUGAUUCUACGCUUAUGCUCCGUUUUUCUGCUUUUCCUUCUUGAUUUAAGAACCUUUCUGUUCAGAAAUGGAGGGAGGGAUAAAGGGUUCGAUGAAUUCGACGAGAAAGGGUUUAAUAUUUCCUUAGAUGGUUGCCAAAUUUUGCACGGCUCGAAAGUCUCUGGCUUAAGGAAGAAAGGAAAAAAGUAGGGGGUGGCGCAGAAUAAAUAGGAAGAGAGAAAUGCGGGAAACUCUUAGCUGUGGCUUUUUUUAAUUGUACGAUUGAUACGAUGACUGAUGUCUUGUUGGAGACUUUUUGAAUAUGCGGCAACUUGACGUCUUUUCUUUAAUCUUUACUUGUUUUGUUGUGGCCUGUGGGUAAGUUUUUGGUUCGGGUUAAUUGGAAGAAUGGCCCCUUGAACUAUUGCUAAUUUUCAAUUUAUCCCGUGAACUGGCAAUUAGAAUGCCUUUUUUUUCUUUUUUCCUUGAGAAAAGUUUUGAAUCCAAAAUAUCCUAUACGUAUAAUUCCUCUCAUUUUACCACUCAAUCCAACCUUCUCUCAAUUGCUUUACUUGACAGUAGUAUGAAUUGAAUGAAUAAACUUUUAGUUUGGUUUGUUUGGACAGCAAUUUAUUUGGUCAAAUAUAUUUGUUUACAUAAUCAUUACAAUUUCCAAUACACCUUUUUACCUUCCCAAUUAUCUUUUUAUCUCACAUACAUCACAUCAAAAAAAAUGCUACAGUAAAAAUAUCUCAAAUAAUUUACAAUCCAAACAGAAAAAAUGCUCCUAAAUAAAGAUUUUGUCUUGGAUUGUCACGUUUCUCAAAAGUUUGUUUUGUCAAAAGUCCAAUUAGGUAUUGUAGUAACUUUUUUAUUUUAUACAUAUUUUUUUAUCAAAACAUGUUGCAAUAUUAUUUUUUUACCAAUUUUUCAGAAUAAAAUUCAUCUAUUUAAGGGCACUAAGGCCUAAUUUAGAAUUACUGUAACUUAUAAAGAAAUACUUUUGACAUAAAUAUUGUAUUUCUUAAGUUAUGAAAAAUAUUAAUGAUCAAAUACUUUAAAAAUACUUUUAAUGCUUAACAGCACUUCUUAUUAUUUAUAAAUGCAUGUAACUCCAAACUAAUCUAAAGCUUUGCACUAGCAAAUAGUGAGCACAAUUAUGCACCGACAAAAACAAAUUAAUAGGUAUAAAGUCACUUUUUUCUUUUGUUUGUUAAAAAGGGAGUAGUUAAAUUAAUAGGAGUAGUUAAAUUUCUCCUUAAAAAAUAAAGAGUAGUUGAAGCAAUCAUUAGCAAAAUCAACCAUUUAUUUUGUUCAGUUGAAUAAAUUAAGAAUGAGGGGCCCUUAUGCAUCGUGACUAAGUAGUACAACGUAAGCAUGCAAGAACAUGCACGUUUGAUAGCGUGACACGUGGAAAAGCGUACUAAGGUUUGCUCAGGUCCAAAGGACGGGGACUGUUUAUGCUAAUAAAUGAUUCUAGAGUCAAGAUUCGUGAUGUCGAAAUGAUCCAGUCAAAAUUUAUUCGAAAUUUUACGGAUUGGGUUAGUUGGCAGAAGAACCGCCCAUCAUCAGGUGGGGCGGAUAGAGACCGGGCGGGAUUCGACGCGUCUCAGUAAUCUGUUUAUUGAACCAAAAAAAAAAAACAGAUUUUUCAAAUGAAUGUUUGAUAUUGAUCGAGUUAGGUUGGUUCGACCGGAUCUCCAAACCGUUCACGGGGAUGUGCGAAUUUUUUUUUUUUGUUGGUCAAUUGCAGAAGAGCCGAAUCUGAUGAUCUGCGUACGUGUAAUUACUAAUGCUUGUAGAUUUAUAUUCAGAUUAUUAGAUCAAUAACUAUUUUUCUAACCAAUACUCAAAAACGAUGUCAAUUGAUAGAAUUUAGCAAUGCAUGCAUUUCAUCAUGAGUCAAUUUUUCUUUUUUUGAGUUCAUAAAUGACAUAUUAUUAUUAUGGAUUGUUUCGAGAAAUGGAGAUCAAAACAUCUGUUACGUGCUCACGUACUAGCAGCGAUUUCAUUGAUUUUUAUUUUUUUUUUUGGCCAAGAGAGUUAAUAAAAUAUGGAUAACACCAAACUGCAACUUCAAUCUAGUUUUGACAAUUUAUAGAGCCCCACAAAAUAGGCGUCGGAAAAUUAGAGUUUUUUUAUUUUAGGUGAGUAAAAGAUCUCAAAUUCGAAAUCUUUCGCACACACUCUUCUUCUGUAUUAUCCAAUUCAUUCCUUUAAUUUAUGAGUUGCUAUCCCAAUUUUGCCAAACUAAUCUCCCUGCACUUGUGCACCCUGCCCCCAAGAAUAUACAAGCGAUAAAGAGUUGAUUCGAACACACGACCUUGGAACCUAACAAGGUUACCUCGAGACCAUCCAAGCCAACCCAAUUACAACGUGUACAAUUUUCUUGCAUAUCAUGCGGUAUAAAACCCACUGGAUUGUUCUUGCCGCUCUUAUUGGGUCAAUCAUAGCAGCGAGAUUCUCCAAUUUGUUGCAGGACUGUUUCACUUGGACUCCUUACGUCGUUACACUCCCACGGAUGGAAUAUUAGGCCUACCCGUAUCGGAUUUGGGCUGUGAGAGCUGGUUACCGCUGGGUUACUAAUCAGUUGUCAGUUAGUUGUAGCCAUUCAUCGACUACUUCAAUCCUAUUUUCCCCCCUGAAAAUUUCAUGCAAAAACACUAGUCUAAACAUGAGAUACCUUUAUUGCCUCUUUAGCUUGAAAAUUGAAGAGGGUCAUCUCCAUCUACUUUUCCCAGAUGUGUUGCAGAUCUUUCUGUACUCGAAAUCAUUGAAAGUUUUGAGAUAUCUUCAAUACGAUAUUCUUAUCCAGGAAUUAUAGAUGACUAAAUGACAAAGAAAAGUUAUUUAUUCGAGUCGAAAUGAAUCCAUAGAAAUGCUUCUUCUUCUUUUUUUGACAAAACCCUAAUAUGAGACUCAAAUUUUAUCCUAAACAAACAUCUAUAUUUGGAUUUCAAUGUUGUUCAAAUCCAUGCUUUUGAAUAACUUAAAAGGAAAAAGUAAACCAACUUUUUAUUUUACAGAUUCAAUUAGAAAUACAUGAUCAACUCUAAAACACCCCUUUCUGACUUAUUUUUUGUUUGAUCAAUCGUGUUCAUUCCUUCCUCCAAUCCUCACCCCUCCAAGAAAUUUUGGGAGAAACAAUUAUACCAAGUUCUUAGAUUAGUAUACAGAAACAAUCAAAACUUGGAACCCCAAAUAGAAAUUUUUGUAGUAAAGCAGAAACCUCAAAAUUGCUUUGAAAAUGGAGAAUCUCCCCCAAAAGAAAUUUAGUAGCAAAAAUUGGGCUUGGACGCUUUUGAUUAUAUAGAUGAAUGAAGCUGCUUGGACAUUGUCCAUUUAUGUACAACUGUUCCUAAAACAUCAUAGAAAGCUAUCUCUAAAUGAGUCUGUGUCAACUUAACGGACAUAAAACCUUGCCCAUCAUAGAAAUAUUUUAGGCCUUCUUCCUUCAUUUCCUUGAGAUCACCCCUCCAGGCCUUUGAUCCAGCUCCACUAGUUAGAAACUGAAUAGGACU
rnacentral:lncRNA from 1 species